rnacentral:lncRNA from 1 species
UGAUCUAUAUGUCCAUCCUUAAGACACUAAAACAAUACCUUAUUGUGGCUUUAUAGUAAGUCUUCAAAUCUGCAAAUCCUUCAAUUAUAAUCUUUUUCAAAAUAAUUUUGGAUGGUUAGCUUCUUUAUACCUUCUUAUAAAUACUAUAAUGUUUGCCUAUUUCUGAAAAAAAAAAACCCUUAAAUUAUGAUUGAAAUUGCAAUGAGGGGGCUGGGGAUGUGGCUCCAGCAGUAGUGCGCUCACCUGGCAUGCGUGGGGCGCUGGGUUUAAUUCUCAGCACCACAUAAAAAUAAAAUAAAUGUUGUGUCCACCAAGAACUAAAAAAUAAAUAUUGAAAAAUUCUCUCUCUCUCUCUCUCUUUAAAAAAAAGAAAUUGCAAUGAGUAUGUUGAUCAACUUGGGGAAAACUGGCAUCUUAGCCAUUUUAAGCCUACCGAGCUAUGAUCACAGUGUAUCUUUCCACUUAUUAAGGUCAUCUUUAAUCUAUUUCUGGAAUGCUUUGUAGUUUUCAGUGUAUUUGAUUUCAUUGUUUUUAGCAGUAUUCUAAAGGUUAGGUUCUAAAUAUCAGUUGCUAAUUAUACAUGACUAGUAUAAAUAGAUACAAUUGAUUUUUGUAUAUUGAAUGAGUUCUCUUUAUUCUGGCUGAAGGGAACAAGAAACAUUCCUGGUCCUGUAUUGCUCUGAGAAUUGUUUGUAUUAGAAUUUCACUAAUUGCUCUUUCCUCAGAAUUUGUUACUGCAAUUCACCCUACAUUCAAACAUUGUGUUCCAAGACUCAAGCAAAUCACCAUAUAGAUAUCUGAAAAAUUUUCCCUCUUUAUCUCUUUCCUCUGCAAAUUCUUGCCUCUUUGGUCUUCUCAUAAUUCAAUCUCUGUCUCUUCAACUCAGGGAGAUUUGGGGCUUUGUUUGGGUUCUUCUUCUGUAUACCAAAAUCUAGAAAUGGUCAUCUGGUAGACAUUGGCUCAUAGCUAUGAUUUCUAAGGACAGAGUUGGUAAAGUGCUUGCCUACCAACCUCUUUGUCUGCCUAUAGCUGUUUCCAAUAGAUAAUCCUGCUUUAUAGUAAUUUAUGAAUGGGAAAUUACUCACACUUCGCCAAAAGAGGGAAUUCUGUCUCUUGCAUUUUUUUGUAAUAAAUUAUGUUCAUAGUUUUCCUGACAGCUAGCUAUACUACCAUUUCUGAGAAAAUCCCUACUUGGUCAUAGUUAUUGGUCAUUUAAUUCAAUGCUUAAAUCAAUUGGCUGAUAUACUAUUUAAUAUUUUGGCAUCUAAUACUUAGUUUUUUGUUUUGCUUUGUUUUUUAAUUUUAGGUGGACACAAUAUCUUUAUUUUAUAUUUAUGUGGUGCUGAGGAUUGAACCCAGUGCCUCUCACACUGGCGGUGAGUACACUACCACUGAGCUACAACCCUAUGCCCUAAUACUUAGUUUUAAUUCAUAGUUUUUUACUUAUUGUGUUCUCUAUUAAAUAUAUAAUAAUAUUUUUGUUAUUAAAGUCAUGAUGGUUUUAUAAAGUGAACUUGGGAACAUUCUGUUUUUCUUUAAAUUAUUUCAAUAAAGCCAAAAUUGCUUGUUUUUACACAGAACUCAUCUAUUCAAACAUCCUGUCCUUUUUAGUAAUAAACCUCAAAUGAUCUUUCAAAUCCCUUUUAUAGAGUUUAGUUUAUUAUUCAGUCUUCUACUUUGAAGGGUUAAUUCAGUUACAUUUUGCGGGGACAUAUCCAUUCUUCUAGUUUUAAAAAUUUUUUGUUAUAAAAUUUCACACAAUAUCUUGCUAAUGUUUGUUAAUUUGCAAGUUCUAUUGUGCUUUUCAUAGUCCUAGUAUUUAUGUCCUUUCACAGGCCUAAUGAUACAAGUAUUUACUUACUAUUAUGUGAGGUGGGAAAAGAAGAUAUCAAGCAAUCCCUUCAACUGAAACAUUUCUUAUCUUUUCUUUCCCAUUUCUUCUUUCUCCCCAAUACUAGGUCCUUAGAAUUUUUUACUUCCCAUUCAUUCCUAACCCAUCUUGAGACCCUGCUAAGAUUCAUUUCAUUUGGUUCAAAUGAAAUUUCUUUAAUAUUUUUCUCAUAUAUGUUAUUGCUAUGUUGCAAAUAUCUUUCUUUUACCUGAAUAGCAAAUGAUCUCUUGGUUGGCUAUAAAAUACUUAGGAUGUGCUAUGAUUUGAAAGUGUUGCCCAAAGUUCAUGUGUUGGGAAACUUGAUUCUCAAUAUAGAGAAGUUGUGAGGUAGAACCUUUAAAAGGUGUUUGGAACAUGGGGCCACUAUCCUCAUAGAUUGAUACCAUUAAGGCCGACAAGAGUUCAUAUAAAUGGAUAAAUUCUGGCCCUUCUUGCCCUCUCUCUUUGCCUUUUCCCCAUGAGAUGAUAUAGCAAGCAGGUCUGUACAGAUGCUAGUGUCUUCAACUUAGACUUCCCAGUCUUCAGAACUGUGAGGCAAUAAAUUUCUAUUUAUUAUCAAUUAGCCAGUCCAUGGUAUUCUAUUACAGCAGUACAAAUGGACUAAGAUAGGGUGCCUUCUUUUACAUUUAAUAGACCUUAGAAUUUAUUUCAUAUUCUUUUUGACUUCCAGGUUGCAUAAAGAAGUCAAAUCCUGAUUCUAUUUUUUUUUUUUUAUAAUUAACUUGUUUUUGUCUGAUUAGGGGCUUGUAAGAUGUACUCUGUUUUUUCAUCAGAGUUCAAGAAUCAUAUUCAUAUAUGCCUGAAUCUUUUUAAGUCAAUGCCAUCUAUAAUUCUAAAAUCCUUUCACUCUAUAAUCUCAUAUGUCUUCAGUUCAAGGAUAUUAUUUUUUUAAUGGUGGCUUUUUGCCUCCAUGUGUGCUUUUUCCUCAUUCCCAUGACUCAUAAAUUAGGUCUCCUGGAUUAUCCUCUACUUCUUAGUUUAGCAUAGGAUUCCUUAAAUCUCCAUUUUCUCAGAUCCUCCAGCUACUGAUCCCAAAGCAUCAAUAAUACAUUUCUUACAAUUACCAAUGCUAUAGAAUUUGAAAAAAAUCAUCUUCUAGUAGUAGUACUAAACAGCAAAAACCUCAUAUUUCACCAUAAUAAUCAUGAGAUUUAAAAUACCAAAGAACAUCAGUAAUAAAUGAAUGUUAUUAAAAAUGGUAUAAAACAUUACAAAUAUAAAAUUAAAUACUAAUGGAUUAAUUUUUUCAUAAAAAGUAGAUUUCUCAGAAUUUCAUUUAAAGAAAAAAAAUGAAACAAAAUUUGAAACCAAUUUGGCAAAUGCCUUGAACCACCAAUACAAAAUAUUUUUAUAUGUGUGUCAAAGAAUAUUAAAAGUAUCAGAGGAUAUGACCAUCUUCUUACACUGAUCCCCCCACCCUUCCCCACAGCCUCUACAACUAAGCAUAGAUAGAUCUAGGAGGAAAUGUAGAAAGAAAAUCCUUUCUUCUCUACAUUCAUUCUUUAGACUCAAAGAGACUAUUGUGUUAAUAAUCAAGCAUUGUAGUCAAAACAAACAGGAAAUCAACCCUAUUUUUCAUUGGAAACAUUCAUAUAUUUUUAAAAAUAGAAAAGCUGUUCAAAUAACUGCUAAAGAACACCAUUAGGGUGAAUAGUAAGUUUCAGAAGAUAAUCAGCACUUUACACAAAUAAGAACAUCUGCAGUCACCCCAGGACUGAUGAAAUUACAGGGUUAUCAAUCCUCAUGCUUCAGGGAAUGGACUAAUCACCAGCUGGAAGAAAGAAGAUAUUCCCCCAAUGGUAUAAUAUUUCUGCAAUAUCAUCAAUUACAUUCAGAUUUUUAUUCCCCUUUAAACAUAAUUCAUUGGGAGGUUUUAAAGAACACCAUGGCCAAAUAGUGUAACCUGAGAGGAAACUCUUUAAAGGUUAUGAAAAUAUAUUUUAGAGAAAUGAACUCAAGAAAAAAAAAAAGAAACUCUCACAGAAGGUAAGCAGAAUAUUAUAUUAGUUAACAAUGAUCCACCAUUUGGGGUAUUUAUCACACAGAACAUAACAUCUAACACAAAGUAAAAUUCAGCAUUUAUUAGACAAAUGAAUGAACAAAGGAACAAAUUUUCACAUGCCUGGCUGGGUUCAAAUAUACCAGUCUUAGUCUUACUAGUAUUUGGCCUUGAGUUACUAACUCAUGUGUCUUUUUUUUUUUUUUUUUGUACUGGGGAUUGAAACCAGAGCCACUUUACCACUGAUUUACAUCUUUAGCCCUUUGUUAUUUUUGACACAGGGUCAAGCUAAAUUCCUGAGGCUGGCCUUGAAAUUGGGAUCCUCCUGACUUAGCCUCAGAAGUUGCUUUGAUUAUAGGCAUGGGCCACAGAGCCAGGCCUCAAGUGUCUUCUUAUCUUCAGCUUAUUAAUCUGUAAAAUAGAGAUAAUUGUAACUAAUUCUUCUUAUUACAGAGAGUGAGCCAAGUAAUGUAUAUAAACAAAACUGCUAUAGACAAUGAAUUGAUUUUAAAUUAUAAAUGUAGCAGCAUUAUAAUCAAGUUAUAUUUUCUGGAAGGUGGGAAUUUGAAAGAUUUCUUAGAAACUGAAAAGAACUUUUUCAUUUCUUUCAUGAGUCACUCAGCAAAAAUCACCCAUAUGCUAUUUCAAGUUAGUUAUUACCUGGGAAUGUCAUUUGAUUCAAAGAUUUUCUUUUCUCUCCGUCUCAUGUUUUUGCUCUCUCUUUUGCCUUUUAAAUCACCAAAACAACAGUUCUACAGGCAUGGGGCAGGAACCAUUAUCUCCAGAAAUGUUUGGGGAGAAGAAAGAGAAGGCUGCUUAAUAUUUAAGAACUAACAUUAGAAUCACUCUCUCGUCCCCACCCCACCCACUCCAUCCCACUCAUGUCACUAUCACCAUUACCUUACAGAACAAAAAGAAACCCCCGUGCUGGAAGCGGUGGUAGAUGCUCAUGGCAUGUGACAUUGAAUAAUAUUGUUUGGAGUCAAACAUUCAGACUCCUCUGUCACACUGUGAUUCAUUCACAGAGCUAGUUACUAAACCACAGGCACUCAGAAAUAGACAAACUAUUCCUGCCUCAAAUGAACCAACGUUCCUGCUGGUCUUGUGAAAGCUCAAGCCAGAUGCUGAGCGAGAUGAAGCCAUGGCUUUGGGAUGCAGGGAGGGUGACAAACGAUGGAGACACGUUCACAUCAAAGCACGGCGGCCUCCAGCAGAGACAGAAUUUAAAACCAGAAAUGAAGACGGGCAUAGAUCUAAACUGAUGCUGAUGUUCCCCCAAGAACACUGGGUACCUAGUUAAACCUCUCCUUAUGGAGACUAGGGAUUGAGGGAGAAAGAAGCUAGGAGACUCCUGCCCUGGCUCACAGCUGCGCCACCAGGCUCCCGGAAUGAGGGGUUCUGUGGCUUCUCGGAGCGGGCUUAAAGCCAAAAAGCCCCGUGGAAACCCAGGCUUGGAGAGGCGCCCACUCAGGCUGCCAGCAGCGGAAAAAGGGGUGUCCUCCGCUCUGCGCAGCACUUGCCCCUGGUGGGUCGGCGCCGGGAUCUGAGCUGGAAGCCAAACGCCUCUUAGCAAGACGCUCACUCGCGGCGGGAGGGGUUUCUCACGCCCCCCUGCUCCUGGGCGACUGCACCGGAGGUCUGAAGGAAGCAGGGCGAGGGAUGAGUCAUCCCGCCUAAUUUCUUCUUCCCGGUCCCUAGCCUCCGCACUCCGGCCCCCUCCUGAGAUCGUGCAGCCGCGAGCGAACACUCCCCUCACCCUCACAGUUCACCACCAAACCCCCAGUGGCCUGCGGAGGAGAGGAGAUAGACAGGGCAUUUGGCCAAUGAUAGCCCUGCUCUCUCGCCCACUGUCCAAUGAGCAUUGACUCACAGGCGGGGCGGGACUAGGAGGGCAGCUGGGGGCGGUCCUGGGCUGGCGCGCGGCACAGCGGCUCCGCGGCUCACAGAGCUAGAGCAUCGCAGGGAGUCGGCGCCAAGGCGACGCGGGAAGGCGCCACCACCACCGCGGUCGCCGCCGCUGUCGCCGCUGGCCAAGGUGCUGGACACGACAGGCCCGUCGGCCAUCUCACCAGCUGAGGAACCCGUUGCUGCAGCUGCUGCUGCCUCGUUUCCAGCCAGGUCCCCAUGGAAGAGAUGGAAGAAGAGUUAAAAUGCCCCGUGUGUGGCUCCUUCUACCGGGAGCCCAUCAUCCUGCCCUGCUCUCACAAUCUAUGUCAGGCGUGCGCCCGCAACAUCCUGGUGCAGACCCCGGAAUCUGAGUCCCCCCAGAGCCGUCGGGCCUCCGGCUCUGGGGUCUCCGACUAUGACUACCUGGACCUGGACAAGAUGAGCCUAUAUAGCGAGGCGGACAGCGGCUAUGGCUCCUACGGAGGUUUCGCUAGCGCCCCGACUACCCCGUGUCAGAAGUCCCCCAACGGCGUCCGUGUGUUUCCCCCGGCUAUGCCGCCACCACCCACCCACCUGUCACCGGCCCUGGCCCCGGUGCCCCGCAACUCCUGUAUCACCUGCCCGCAGUGUCACCGCAGCCUCAUCCUAGAUGACCGGGGUCUACGCGGCUUCCCCAAGAACCGCGUCUUGGAAGGGGUAAUUGACCGCUACCAACAGAGCAAAGCUGCGGCCCUCAAGUGCCAGCUCUGUGAGAAGGUGCCCAAGGAGGCCACCGUCAUGUGCGAACAGUGCGACGUCUUCUACUGCGAUCCGUGCCGUCUGCGCUGCCACCCGCCCCGGGGGCCGCUAGCCAAGCACCGCCUGGUACCCCCGGCCCAGGGCCGCGUGAGUCGGCGACUGAGCCCUCGAAAGGUCUCCACCUGCACAGACCAUGAGCUAGAGAACCACAGCAUGUACUGCGUGCAGUGCAAGAUGCCCGUGUGCUACCAGUGCUUGGAAGAGGGCAAACACUCCAGCCACGAAGUCAAGGCUCUCGGGGCCAUGUGGAAACUGCACAAGGUGAGCCCUAGGAGAACCCACCCCCUAGCUCCCCGCUCCUUGGAUCCUCCAGUUUUGCUGCAGACCGUUUCCUCUAUUGCUCACAGCGCGUCCCAGUGGGGGCGCAAUGCAGGUGCCUUCGAUGUCUGCCUUCCCGGUCUGGUGCAUUGCAGGAGACUCGGGGGACAUCAUACAGCACACAGGGAAGUUGAAUAUCCCCAGAGGGUUGCGGGGAUGCCUUAGAGUGGGUCUCCCGAGGCGCGCUGCUUGUGAGCUGGAUGCAGGGCGCCCCCUCUCCGUCGCGGGCCUGCAGCCUGUGGCCGUGGCCAGAAUGUGAAAAGUGCUGCGUAGCUAGACAGAGCCCCUCCAGUGCUGAAAGCCUCCAGGCAAGCUACAGCGCAGGUUGAGCUGAGAGCCUUGGGGGAGGAGGCAGUUUGAGGCAGUGGGGUGGCGGGGACCCUGGGGGCUGUAGCUGCUGGAUUCGCUGACGCCUCGAGGCGCGGCGCGGGCCGGGUAGAAGUCGCCCGCGGAAUAUUGAUGAGCCGCCCAGAGCCAGACUGGGUGCACCAGCCGGGAGGGGUAGCUAGUGCCUAGUGCUGGAGACGGGAAAGGAAAUACUGUGGUCGCCAUGGCAACGCGGUGCUCAGGUCCAGACCUCUGAUGCUCUGCGAGGGGGAUCUGAAGCUAGAGUGACAGGACCAGAGUUGCAGUUGUGGCCUGAAAGCCAGGCAGGUGCAUCUCCCAGCGGAAACCCCCACCUCCCAACACCACACUUCAUUUCUCCAGGGUUCAAACCUUUUCCUCUUCCAGUAGUUGUAUGUACAAACUUUGGGGCAUCUCCUAACAGAUUUCUAUCUCUGGACUCUUUUGAUGGUGCCUUUACUAUGGCUAGACAAUAAGACUGCCUUUAACAACAUACUAGGUCACACCAUUCCUCUAGUCACAAUCCUCAGAUGGCUCUCCGCUUUUCUCAGGCUGUCCUUAGAAUGGUCUGUCAGGACCUGCAGACCCUGAUCUUCAGUCUCAGUCUCAACUUCCUUGUCCCUCACACUCAUUCCCUUUGCAUCAGCCACACUGUGCCUUUUUCUGUUCCUCAGCUAUUGCCAGGUGCCCUACCAACCUAAAGCCCUUACAUUCAGUGAUCCACCAGCCUUGAAAGUGUCCAAUACCUAGGUCUGGAUGGUUCACUCAUUUGCCUUCUUUUCUUCUUUGCUCACAAGUCACCAUUAGAGUGAGAUCUUCCUAUGACAGUGCUUGCCACUUCCUCAAGAACCCCAUAAUUCCCUUCCUGCCUUAUUUUUCUUGGUAGUACUUGUUACUCUCUGGUGUGCUAAUCAUGCUAUUUAUGUUAACGAUUGUAUUAGUUUUGUGUUCACACACACACACAUAUACAGGAAAAUAAGCUUCAUAGAAAAGAGGUGAUUAUAAUAAUAUGCCCAUACCACUUAGAAGAAAAGCAACCACUUUGCUAAGAUGUACUUAUAUUGGCUUUUUCUUUUUAAAUAACCUACUUAGUUGGGGGUGUGGAGGACAGGGCAGAGACUCAGGAUUAUUAGAGGGGAGUUUUCUUUACAUCAGUCACCAAGUUGCAUGACCAAGGAAGAAGCAGGACGGUGAAGAUGAUGUGCAGGCCUCCACUGUAGCCCCAUGCAGAGUUCCCCACAUUCUUGGAAACUAGAAAAGAUAGCCUUUGAGAGAUGUCAACUCUGGGCUGGAACAAUAAUCACAGCAAAAAGCUGGGAGCAAAUAUCACCAUUUCCAGCAAUCAUUGGAGGUUUCUUAACCCUGUAUCCCAACUGAAUGUAAUCCAUGUUUACAGUCAUUCGUAGUCUCACAUGUAACCUAUUGAAUCAUAUUAGCACUGAUGAAAAUUUAUUUUGGCACAGAUUUGAUCCCCACUGGCACAUGCCACUGUUUUUAAAACACUUCAAUUUAUAUUUCUUAAUGACAUUUAAUUUAGAAAGUUUUCAAAAUCUUAAUUCACAGCCAAUUUGUUCUUCAUAUUACAAUUUCACUGUUCGACUGCUAACUAUAUUCUAUGUUGAAAUGCCCUACAGAGAGUCUAAGAAAUUAAUCACCCUGUCUUGUCAAAGAGUUAAUCCAUAUGCUAAUUAGGAUGGUCAACCCACUGUAUUACUUUUCUAUGAAGAAGAGUCUAUACUUUAUGCAUUAAGACCAAAAAGAACCUUGAAAUCUUUAUCAAGCCUAAUGUCAAGCCUAAAUAAACCAUUUGUUUUAUUGAUAAUGGAAGUUGUGAGUAGACACUGUGAUCCUGACUGGAUUAAAAUUUGGAGACAGGAUUUUUAAAAAAUGUUGAAACCCUUGAGACAAGGGCUAAAAGACCAUUUGUUCUUUGAUCUUUUACACAUGUAUUUCAACAUAAUAAGUAGGUAUCGUUUUUAUUCAGUCAGUGUCAAGAUGAUUAAACUACCUAGAAAAAAUAAGGCAGAAGGAGGACAGGUUUUAACUUUCAGUUGUCAUCUACUAGAUGAACAGCAUAUCUACUCCAACCUUAUUUCCUUAAAAGGUAGUUAAUGUGUUAAUACUCACUUUUCUCAUAUAGUCUAUGUUCUAGUUAAUAAUACCUCUGUCCCCACAAAACCUUAUGGGUCAGAAUUUCUAUGCCCUACAAAACAUACAAAAGCAAAGAAUUAUACUUAGUUCUCCCAAAGUUGGGGAAUUAGUUAUCAGUAGAAGUUAUUAUGAGACCUGAAAGUUUUCAUUAAUAUUCAAAUAUAUUAGCCAUCCAUUUCUACUGAUAAAGAAAAUGUUGUGAAUAUGUAUUCCCUCAAGUAUAAGUCAUCAUCUUACAUAUUAAAGAUAAAAUGAAUGAAGUUUAUUUUUAAUUAGUUUCAAAAACAAUUAGUUAAAAUGUAUUAGUUGUCAGAUAACCAAAUUAAAUAUAUUUCAUACAUUUAUGACCUUCAAAAUCCAUUAAAAAUAUUAAUACAAGAAGUAGACUGAUAAGCUAUAUCUGGUAGCAAUUUUUAGUAGUCCUUUUACUUACUUUACUUGCUGUAGCCCUUUAUUCAAUUCAGGCUGACAAAAAAAACCUGCAAUACAAAAAAUGACUUUGUAAAUGUUUAAAAACAGGCAAAUGGAACAUCUAUUAUUACUUUUUAAUUUCAAGUAGUUCACCUUUCUAAAUCCUGACUUUAUUCCACAGGUGACACUGCUACUUACUCCUCCAGACUUUAAGCAAGUCUCAUACCUCCCAUCCACAAGGAUAUAAAGGAGUUAAAACUGUAUUUGUGAAAGUAUUUUGGAAAAAAUAGUUUAAAUAUUUAUAAUUUAUAAUUUCAGUUUAGUACAACUGUGAACUGUAGUGCAAAACAGAAGUCAGUGUUUCACUGGUCAACAAGGACUGCAUAGAAAUCUCAUCCCUAAUUGGGGUUUGCUUGCUUCUUUCAGAGCACAAGUUUAUAGUCCAAAACUGCUCUGAAGGUGGCCUAAAAGGGUUAGUCUUAUCGUCCUGGGUCCAGAGAAAAAUACUCAUUUGAUUAAACUCAAGGAAAAUGAAUAUUACACAAAGAUAUAGUACCCAAAGGUAUUUUGUUUUUCCAUAACAAAGCUAAAAUGAUAACUGAUGACUCCAUUGUUUUCAGAUUCUCCAAUAAAAAUAUUGUAUCCAGUUUGAAGUAGCUGAAUUUUUUCCUGUAUAUGAUAUGAAAAGAUGCUAUUAAUUGGAACAUCAUAUCAAAUCACAUUUUGCAUAAAUAAGAGAAAAUUACACAGUCAUCUAUUAUUAAAAUACUAAGAAUUAAGGACAGGCAGAAAUUUUACAUACCCAUCAGUAAAUAAAUUGUACUUUCCUCCCUGAAAUAAGUUAAUGGGCUUUUCAGUAUGUAUGCAUAUCUGUGUUUCAGUAUACCUUAUCUGAAAUGUUUAGUACCAAAAAUGCUUAAGGUUUUUUUUUUAAAACUUUGGAAUAUUCUCAUAUACAUAAUAAGAUAUCUUAGAGAUAGAACCCAAAUCUAAACAUGAAAUUCAUUUAUGUUUCAUAUAUACCUUAUUCACGUGGGUGAAUAAGGGAAUUUUAUACAAUAUUUUUAGUGCGCUGCUGGUGUUUUGACUGAGACUCAUAAUACAAGGUCAGGUGUGGAAUUUUCCACUUUCAAAAAAUUUUGUAUUUUGAAGUAUUUGAGGUUUUUAAUUUUCAGGUUAGAGAUUUUCAACCUGAAACUUAACUUUGGAAUCUGGAGGAGAAUAGAAGGCUAUUACAUGAUAAAUGUUUAAGAACAAAAUGGUUCUAAAUAAUAUCAUUUUUAAAUCAGUUUUAUCAAGUACUAUUGGUUCUAAGGAACAGAAAUUCACUUGGGUGAUGUCAGAGGCUUUUGUGAGAAAUGAACCAAAAUAUAUGUAUCAGGAGAGUAGAAUUUGAAAGCCAGAAUCUUAGUUUACACUCUGUAUCAGUCAGCUUGGACAAGUGAUGCUGCAGUAACAAAUAAUCUUCAAAUCUCAGUGAAUCAUAACAGUAGCAUCUAAUUUUGUACUCUUAUCACUGAGUCCACGCCCCCGUCCCCGCUUUUUUGCUUUAGCUGGUUUGUGUUAGUUUUCUAUCACUCUCAACUGAGAAAUUCAGACUUAUUCUAGCAAUGAGUGAUCUCAUGUAAACAUUUGUAUAUGAAUAUUCUAAUUACUAUUAAUUCUAGAUAUUGUUAUUCUGAUGCUGUAAAUAUAAAUGGAAAGGCAGUUUUGGUUCAAUGAAAUCAUAUAGUAUUUAAUGCUAUCUGCCCACUUACCACUGGUAGCCUUAACUGGCCUAUUGGCUGAUUUCUUAAACUAUUUUUAUUGUGACGUUAUCUAAAAAGAGGCCUAAGGGAAUAUUUAUUUAAACUAACUCUGAAUUACACAAUGAAUGUAGUGAUGGUACCUUUAAGGGAAAUAGACUUUACAGGGAGGUUCUGGAGUCAAAUUGCUGCCUAUAAUCAAUUCUGUCUGUUUUCAAAGUCAAGAAAUCUCUGAAUAUGUGUAUGAAACCUCUCAUUUUCAUUUUAUUUUAACCUAUACUCUACAAAUUAGAUUUUUUCAAACUAUUCUUACAAAUUUUCCAUUGUUGAAUAAAUUUGAGACUUUCUAAACACAUUCCUGUUAGUUCACCUUGUGCAUUUUUACAUCAUAAUAAUAGUAUAUGGUAGUCCUCUUUAACUAUCAUUUUAUUUUCUGUGUUUUUAGUUACACAAUGUCAAUCAUGCUCCAAAAAUAUUAAAUGGAAUUUUCUAGAAAUAACUGAUUUUCAAGUUUUAAAUUGCUUGCAUAUUUAAAACUUACGAAAUCUUGCUAUCAUCCUGCUCUGUCUUGCCCAGAAUGUGAAUCAUUAUUUUCUCCACAUUGUAUAUGCUUCCUACUUGUUAAUUACUGAGUAGCUAUCCCAGUUAACAAAUCUAAUGUUGUGGUACCACAGCGCUUAUGUUCAAGGAACCCUUAUGUAGUUGCCCAAUGUGUCACAAUGUCAACAUCAUUCACCUAAAUUCGUCUCAUUGGGAAGAAAAGGGUAAGUACAGUACAAUGUUUUGAGAGACACAUGCAUUCAUAUAACUUUUAUUACAGUGUAACUAUUCUAUUAUUAAUUUUUAAUAGUGCCUAAUUUACAAAUUCAGCUUUAUCAUAUAUAUUUAUCAUAUAUAUUUAUCAUAUAUAUAGGCAUAUAUAUGAUACAUAUAUCCAAAAUCUGGAUGUAUAAUAUGCUUUAUCAUACAUAUGAUAAAGCAUAUUAUACACAGUUUUAGGUAUCCACUGUGUGGGGGGUGGGGUCUUAGAAUAUAUCCUCUGAGGAUAAGAGAGAACAUAUGUCAAUAUAUUCUGCAGCAAACCAGCUACUUGAUUCAACCUAGCAUUUUCAAAACUUAUUCAACUUUGGAAACACCUUUUGAGUGACACACAUGUUUGAGAAACCCUAGUCUAGGCAAUGAUUAGUUAAUAAGCUAGUAAGGAGGUAAUUGUUAUCAUUUCUGUCUAGGCAGAAUAGAAUACCCUAAAAUUACAUACACAUGUCCACAGUAAGCCUAUCCUUAAAUCUUAUGUUAAUUCCUAAGGCAUAUAUUAAAGUUAAAUUUGUUAUUCUUUAAAUAUUAAAAGUAGAAGAUAAUACAGCCUCAUUUUAUGGCAUUUAUAUAUAAGGACCUGAAUACAAAUUGCCUCUCUUUCUAUUAUAAAUAAUUUACUCUUUAAAAAUGAUUUUAGAUUUCAGGAGUACAAAUAUAAUAUAAUAAAAAGUAACUGAUCUAUUUUUUUUUUACUGCUUUUAGGCUUUGUAUACAUGAUUCCAAAUAACUGGUUUAAUUGAGUUUUUAUUAAACUGUGUUAAUAAUCUUAUUUUUUAAAAUAUGUUUGAUAAAAAGAUAUUAAAAAGUUAAAACUCCUAAUGUUGGCUCCAUGACAACAUAGCACAGCAAUUUAUAAAAGCUAAAUGAAUAGCACAUUGCCUUUUAUAUUCCAGGCUUUACUAAUAUUUUCAUUUUGACAGUUGGGGUCAAUUUCCAAACUUAGAAAAAGAGUUAGCUAUAAAAUGGCCACCAGCAGUGUACCUAGAUGCUCAGAUUUGGGUUUGUCUCUAUCAUAUGUGAUUUGUCCCAAACCCAAAAACACUUCCUGAGAGAGUGCUCACAGAAGUUUCAUCCUGAACCCUAAUGGCUCAGGAAGGCUCAAGAAAUAUUCACUUUCUGGUUGUCUUUCUGUUUUCUGUGCAUCUGCCUCAGAGAAGUCAUCAUAUCAUCUCACUGUUGUUUUCCCUUGGCUUUGCCAUUGUGUUAAAGUGGAGUAUGUUGGUCUAGUCACAAUCCCAUCUGCCUAAAUUGCCUCCUCCCUCCAGAUACCAUCUAGCCUUACAGCUCCCCACUGGGUGCUGCUGUCCUGUCUUCCAGGCUUGCCCUCCAUCUUUCUCAAACCAGAUCUUGAGAUCCCCUGACUAUCUAAUUUUGCCAAGAUCAGCUCAGAUAAGCCAGCAUUGACAGACUUCUAGCAGACCAGCCUGCCAACCAGGAACCUGGUGCUACCCUGACCUUAUCAGGGUUACACCUGCAGCCUCCCCAUCCUCAGCUGGGUUUAAUUGCAGACACUUUUUUAACUGAGGAGAGGGACUUUUUUUUUUUUUUCAUUUAGAUUGAUUCAUUUUAACCUAAAAAAGGCAAGAUAACUCUUCUUGAAUUUCGAGUCUUGAGUAAAUGAACAUCAUUGACUUUCCCUCCUUUCUCAUGCCUGACUUUAGAGACUCAUCUCCAUGGUUUCAACUCCUGCUGUAACUGAAUUUCUAAAACAGACCUAUUUAUCUCAGUACCAUUCCUUUUCACAAUGUAGUCCCAGACUAUCUUUCUAGCCCUAUCUUCUAUCCUUCUGCUUCCCACAACUGCUAUAUCUGUGUUCUAACACUGAAUGUCCUCUACUGUAGGGUAAAUGUUUAUGAUAAAAUCUUCCAAUGGACCACUUGAUGUGUUGGACUAUUUCUUUGUUCUCCCCAUUUCUGCACUUAGUAGAUGUUAGGUAAAGGUUGAUUUAAUGAAGAAAAGCACCAGAAAGAGAGUAUUAAAUUAGUAAUAUAACCCAAUAGUUUAAGUUUCAUAUAUUAGCCUGACAAUUAUCAUUAAAUAAUUAGAAAACUUUAAUUUUAUAUUUUUUGUUAAAAUGUAUUGGGCAUUUAUUACAUGCCAGACAGUGUGUUCUAAGCCUUUAGCAACAUUUUCUCAUUUAAUCUCCCUAAGUUAUAAGUUCUCCUAUGAGAAAAUUGUGGCACAAAAAGAUUAUAAAGUCAUGUCAGUUAUAAGUAGCAGAGCCAAAGUUUGAAUCCAGGCUGUAUGUGACUUCAGGGCUCAGGCAUUUAACUAUUCUGCUCUACUUCCUGAUGAUCCCUGGAAAUAUAUGAUCCAUAAGGCACUGUUUGAUGGUCUUAUAAAUUACAGUGACAUAAAUAGCUGGGGUCCUUUUGUUCUCAGGUAUAAAAAUUGCUGAGAAAUUAAGUCGUUUUUCUCCAAAGUUUCCUGCUAAUCCUCCUCAGCAGGAUUAGCUUGUGAGGGAUCCAGCCUAACUCCCUGAAAGAUCUAAGUCACACGGAGGGAAAAGGGUCUAUUAGCGCAGCAAUGGAAUCACUGUGCUCUUUUAACAAACAAUGCGUCUUAAAACUUACAGAAAAAAACAGCAUAAUAGAAUCACUGGACUUUUGAAAUAAACGUAGCACAUAAACAUUGUAAGUCUUUAUUUCUGCAGACCUAGAACAUUUAUAAGCUCAUUUUUUAAAAUACAAAAAUAUGUUUUAACCUGUAAGCACAUAUUUCUUCAAUGUUUACUGUCAGUUGUUUGCUUGUACCUUUGCUUAUGUGGCUUGAAGAAAACAUGCAUAAUCCAGUUCAUGAAUAAAAUACCUGACUCACUUUUCACCAUAAAUAUAAAAAAGAAAUUUGUGAACUAGGAAAGCUAUUGUUUAGGAAUGGAUUUAAGAACGUGCCAAAUAAUUUUUUUAUAUGCCUGGCUGCUGUGGUUUGAAUGUGUCCCCUAAAGUUCUUGUGUUGAAAAAUUAAUCCCCAGUGCAAUUGUGUUGAGAAGUGGGACCUUUAAAAGCAGAUUAGGUCAUGAUGACUCUGCCCUCAUGAAUGGAUUAAUGCCAUUAUAGAUGGAAUGGGCCAGUUAAUGAAGGAUUAGGUUCCUGAUAAAAGGAUGAGUUUGGCCCCUUUUCUCACUCCCUCUCACCCAUUGAUGCUUUCUAUCAUGUUAUGAUGCAACAGAAGGUCCUCACCAGAUGCAACCCCAAACCUUGGACUUUCCAGGCUCCAGAACUGUUAGCCAAACAAAUUUCUGUUUGUUUUUAAAUUACUCAGUCUGUGGUAUUCUUUUAUAGCACAAAAAAAAUGGACUGCCUGUUUUCAAGAACUGCCUGUUUUUCACUAACAGCUCUGAUCAAGGAAGAAAUUGUUCCUUAAGGAAUUAGCUUUAGAAAUAGAAUGUUAAACAUUGUUCUUUGGUUCUUUGGUUUGGCAGAGCCAACUUCUGCCAGUAGCCAGUACAUGUAGAUCAUUAAUUCUCCUCUACCGUUUACUUAUUCAGGUGAAGCUAACUUUGUAGCCUGAUAGCAAUAAUCCAGCUUUAUUGAGAUUUUUUGUUCAUCCCUCUAGUAUUACUUUGCGUGCAGCCUACAUUUAAAGAAUUAACAGUUUGACACCAAAUAUUCAUCUCUCCAUGUUUCAGGAAAAGCCUGAGAGAGGAUAACCCUGUUCUGACCUGUCAUGUGUAUCAGUCUAAGAGAUUAUCUGUUCUCUGAACAAAACAGCUUGCAGACAGGAAUAAAUGUGAAUAUGGGGAAUUAAGCAGUUUCUACUAAAAGCAGGUCUUCAUAAUAACCUUCAUGAUUUUGUAGGGAGGAAUAUUUUGCAAAGUCAAGCAUACAGAGGCUCAACUUCAAGUAUAACUGUCUCAAAAACAAAUAGAAAUGACUCUAUAAUAUAAUCUAUAUUCUUUGAUUAUCUGUGUUUUAGUUUCUUUUAUCAGUGCAAAUAACCAGCAACCGAUUUUACCACAAAUACACACAGUCUGUUACUUGGUACUACUGAUGACAUUUAUGCAGUUUUCACAGAGCAAUUCAUGAAACCAAUAAAACAAUUUUGCUUAUGCUUUGCCAUCCUCCCUUUCACACCUUCAAGUGUUAUCCCAAGAGCAUUAGUCACAUAAAAUCGAAUGUAUAAUUGGACUUCUUUCCAGUCUGAUAAAUCCAUGGUGCUUUUAACAAGCACUUGUUGUUGAUUUUAUUGACCAUCAAUCAUCCAGCCAAGACUUAGCAAGAAAAUAUACUAAACAGCUUUCAGCCACUAAUCAACGCAGUAUGAAGAAGUGUGUUCUUUGGCUACCUUUUGCCAUUACAGAAGUGAAUCCACCACUGGUGAAACUAAAACAUUAUUCAGUAUUAAAUAAAAAUUUCUCCACUUUCUAUUUCAAGGACCAAGAAAUAUGAAAUGUUGAAGCUUAUAUGGAACAUAAGACACUGAAUUUUUAGGCUGACUUCAAUAAGCUCAAUAAGCCAGGGUCCCAGAAUGUGGCUACCAUUCCCUUAAAGUUCAAAGAUAGCACAUUUGCACCUCGUCUAAGACAUGGAUUUUGGAUUGUUCUGAUCACUAUAUAUUUUAAAGUAUGGAAAAGUUUAAAAUGAAUAGUAAGCUCCUGCUAUGAUAUAAAACAUAUUACUUAAACUGUUGGUAUUAAUUGUUAAGGGGUAUGACGUUUCUUUGGGGGUGAUUAGUAUUAGUAUUAGUAUUAAUUGGCAAAUUGGCAUACAAAUCUUUCAUGUGAAUUUUUAAAGCUUAUUCAUAGAGAAAAUGGAACUGUGAAUAUCCCCAAUUCUUGUUUGUGUUGCAUUCAUUAUUUGACUUGAUUCUAGCAUAACAUAUUGAGAAACUGCUAUUAUUAUUUCAGAGUCACUGAGAGAUUACCUAGAAUCACACUACUGAUGAAGACAGAGCUUGAUCCUAGGCCUAAAUGUAUUUCAGAUUGUCAAGAUUUCACAUUUUUUGUAACUGAUCUCAUAUUUGGCUAUUAAACAUUUUGCAUUGAACCCCAGACCUAAAGCUCAGUGGUAUCCCCACUUGGAUAUUCCACAGAUCUCACACUUAGCACACGCAGAGCUGAAUUCAUCCUCUCUUUCCAAUUUGCAACUCAUAGAUUUCUUUCUCUUACUUUUUGAACAGGAACCAAAGAAUGCAGGUAUCUUCAUUCUAUAGUGGAGUCAAGUGAAGAGUAUUCAUUCAAAGUAUUUCAAGACUAGAAAUCUUAUUAAAUACUUAAGACCCACAGAUAUUUCAGAACAUCAGCAUUGGAAAACUAAACAAAAAUUCAUUUAAUGGAGGAAAGCAUUAAGUUUGAGAAUAUUAUAGAAGGAAGUAAGACUUAUAAGGAAUUUAUCAAAGUUUUCUUUAAUAAUCUUUCACCAUUUAUUAUACUCAAAGUAUGACAGUAUUCUAGGCAUGGAUCCAAUGACUUUCUAUGCAUUAAAAGAUAGAAUUCCUACAACUAUAUAAGGCAAGUACUAUUAUUAUCCUCAUGUUACAGAUGAGAAAACUGAGGUUAAGAAACCAUGGCACCCAAAGUCACAGCUAAUAAGUGCCAGAUCCAAGUUUUUCUUUUAAAGAGUCUGAUUCUAGAUUCUGUAUUUUCAGCAGGAUAACUACCAGCUUUGUGCAGAAGAGAUCCUAAAAAUGACUUUGCUCACUUUCAUCUUGACAGCUGUAUAAGGUUUCUGGCUCUUAUGUGGAUACAGCAGGUCACUCAUUGAUUUUUUUGUUUUUGUUUUGAGAGAUAACUCACGUUCCAUAAACUUCAUCCUUUUAAAGUAUAUAAUUCAUUAGUGUUUCAUAUAUUUACUCACAGAAUUGUAUAAUCAGCACCACAAAUUCUAGAACAUUUUCAUCACCCAAAAAGAAACCUCAUACCCAUUAACAGUCACUCGCCACACAUCCUCUCCUCAACUCCCGGCAAUUACCAACAUACUUUCUACCUCUGUGGAUUUUCCUAAUCUAGAUAUUUCAUAUAAAUUGAAUUAUACAAUAUGUAUCUUGUGUGUCUGGUUUCUUUCACUUAGCAUGAUGUUUUCAAACCUCAUCUAACCUUAUAUCAUGUAUCAGGACUUCAUUCCUCUUUAUGAUAAAGUAAUAUUCCAUUGUUACACAGCAGUUGAAAGGCUUGGUUGCUUCCACUCUGGCUGUUAUGAAUAAUGCUGCUAGAAUAUUCAUGUACAAGUUUUUGUGUAGAGAUUUUUUUCAGUUAUUUUUAGUAUUGUGGUAUAACAAACAUAUUUAGUUUUGUCCUUAGUUCCUAUCCCAGAGCUUUCAAAAACCUUUGAGAUUUCUUGAAUGAUAGAAUGUCUGAUUUUAUGCUGCUAAGGUGACUGGUUGGGACCCCCACAUAACUUCAGAAUGGGAGUUCAGAAAGACCAAAUGUGAAACUUUCAGCCUUCUUAGCUUCUGACCUCUGACCCCUAAGGAGAAGAAGGAGUUGGAUAUUGAGUUCUAUAAAAAUGGUGGAAUGGAAAAAAUUGGAGAGCUCUCAGUGAGUGAGAACACAGAGGCAAUGAGUGUGGCACACUCUGAGGGGGAGUCCAAGUUCUACUCUUUUCCUUACUUUUCCCUAUGCAUCUCUUCCACUUGGCUAUUCCUGAAUAGGGUUCCCUAUAAUAUACCAGCAAAUAUAAGUGAGGUGUUCUCUAGAGUUCUGAGUCAUUCUGGAGAUACAGAACCUGAAAUGGGGUGCCCCAAAUUUGAAAUCAAGUCAGACAGAAGGGCAUGCAGCCUAGGGACCCAGAACUUGUGACUGUAAUUUGCAGUGAGUGCAGUCUCAGAACAGGAUUGAAUUAUAGGACACGCAUUGGUGUCAGAGAAUUGGGAAGUCACAAAAGUAUACACCUAGGAAUGUAAUUGUUGGGCCAUAUGAUAACUCUAUGUUUAACAUUUAAGAAAUUAUCAAACUGUUUUUCAAAGAUGCUGCACCAUUUACAUUCCCACGCGCAGUAUGUGAGGGGCCCAUUCUCUGCAUCCUCAGACACUUGUUGUCAAACUUUGAUUAAUUAUCCUAGAAAACUAUGAAGUAGUGUCUCACUGUGUAUUUGAUUUGCUUUUCUCUGAUAACUGUUAAUGUUGAAAAUCUUUUCAUAUGCUUAUGGGCUACAUCUUUUUUAUUUUUAAGAGAGAUGUCUAUUCAAAUCAUUUGACCAUUUUAAAUUGGGUUAUUUGUCUUUUAUUGUUGAAUAAUAAGAGGGCUUUUUUCUAUAUAUGAUGACUGCUUAAUCACUUUUAAAAUGGAAAGUCAGAGAUGUCAGCCUCUUAUCUCUCAGAGACACAGGAGGAAAAGCAUAGACUUAGAGCUGAGUCUUGGUCAGAGAGAACUUGUUAAGUCUGGCCCGUUAGAAUCUACUGCAAAUUCCUUGUCCAAUAAACCCUAAUAAAUCAAUUCUGAGACAGAGCUUAGAUACUCUCUAUCAGGAUUAGCUCUGACAAAUAGGAGACAUGGAAAAGCCCAGAAGCAGGAAGAGGAAACAUUUUAAUUAUCAAGACACUGGAUAUUGCAGCCGUUCUGCCUCUUACUCCAAGUUGCACUCCUGACUUUGGUAAUGGAGUUCACUUCUUCAUAAUAUCAUAAAGUUCCAGUGGUACUCUGGUGUCUGUUACGUAAGUUUACCAUUAUGAUAUUCACAAAGUUACUUUGUGACGUCAAAAUAGUAGGUUUCCCCCCUACAUUUGAGAGGUUAAAAGUGGAUAGAAUUGGAAUACGGGAAUCUUAGACAUCAUUUACCUAUCCCUCUUCCAAGGUGGAAAAAAAGUUGAGUAUUUCAUUAAGUUACUAAAAUCAUUCAGUAAAAAUAAGAAUUUGUAAAUUUUUGUAGAAUUUAUACUAAGAAUUCAGAACAUAGAAGGGUUUAUUUUUUAUUGCUUCUCUGUGGGUAUGCAUGUACAUGUUAUGUACAUAUCUGUCUGGUGAAGCUCACUGAAACACCUAUGCUACCCUUGGGGGGCUUUUGCAUGCCCCCCCCCACCCAUAAUCAAAGGUGUUCUUUUUCUUCCCUAUAUACCAUGACAUGACUACCAAAGUUUACCUUAUAUGUUUUCUCUCUUUAAGGGGAAAUGAUGUGUGUCUGUAUAUUUAGAUUGAUAUUUCUUCAUUAUAAGUAAUAUAUUCUUUUUGUCGUUGUUGUUAACAUUGGCUUUCAAUAAUACAGUACUUUGCCCAAAGGUUCAAUCUAGUGGUAGAAGAUUCCACACGAAGCUGGAACAGAAAAUAUUCAUAGGCUUUAAUUUUGCUGUGCCUCUCACACAGAAUCAUGCAGUUGCUGACUAAUUCUGACUAAUGACUGACCCCUUCGAUUGACUGGUUCAGUUGGUUCCUGCCCUAGUAAAAAAGCACAAAAGAAGUUUCUGGAUGAAGCAAAAGGGUGUUCCCUCACUCCCCUCCCCAUUUUUUGCACUACUUGUCACCUUUCUUGGCAUCUUACCGGCCACCAUUCUCCACUCUCCCUUGUUUCCUCUGUGGUCCCCUGUGAGUCUUUUGAUUUCUGCAUACCUGUCUACAAGCCCAGCUUGCUUCCAAAUCAUGUGCCUUCUUUCCUAGGUACUUUUACUUUCUGUGCUUAGGAUCCAACCCAGGGCUUUGCACAUGUGCUCUACCACUGUACCUUCCUCAGUUAUCUCCAUGACUUGCUUUCAUCAGUGUGUGUGAUCUCAGCCAGCUCCUGAUUCUUGACCAGGAACUUUGGGGAGUCUCUGCCCAGCCGGUUCAGCUUAUGAACACUCUUCCUUCAGCCUUACACUGGUUUUUUAAGCCCUGGCUUCAUGCCCACUAAAGGUCCUGGAGUCGAGAGCUCCUGAAAUCUUUCCUUAUGUGUGACAGCUUUAGGACUGGCACUGAUCCCAACAAUAGAUUAUUGUAAUGUACUUGGCCAAUUACCUGUAAUGUUAAUAUAAGAUUACAACAUAUACAUCUGGGCCAUAUAAAAAUAAACUCAUGUAACUCUCUUCUUUUUGAAAGAUGACAUAUAAAAUGAUUUAACUAAGUGCAGCACAGAAUCCAUUAACAUAUAACCACCUCUGCAAUGAAAUAAGACAGAUAUUUAGUAAAACCUGGAUGUUCUGCUUACGCUAAAGACAGGAAAUAAAGAAUAAUUUAUUAAUUUCAUCUGCGAAAUGGAAAUGAAGAGAUUGGUAGGAAGAGGAUUAUUACCUAAAUUUUAAGACUAGAAAAACUGGUCAAUUACACUUUUGAAUGAAGCCAAACAGUUCAAAGAUAUUAUAAUCUUGUACCAUUAAAUGCUCUGUUUACUUUUACAAGAACAAAGUCAUAAAUAUAUUAUUUAAAAUUUAAAUAGCAUAUUAUGCUGGUUUGGGUUGUUGAUUAUUAAGUUUUCUAAAACUCUGUAUGUACAAAAGAUUAUUAUGAAAUUGCCAUUGAAAAAUUAACCGAGAGUAUUCUGUUUCUCAAGUUUUCUUGUGUAUAUUUGAGGUCUCCAGCAUGAUGCUAUGGGAUAUAUAGAGAUGGUAAAUGGUUAGUAUAGUGCAACAGACUAGUAGACCUAUCAUCUCAGAUAGUUAUAGUUUUGGUGACAAGAGCAACUGAAAUGUACUUAUUGAACAACAAUAACUUAAAGCAAUACAAUUUUAUUACCCAUAGCCAUCACAUUUUACUUUAGAUCUCUAGACUUGUUCAUCCUAUAUAUUUGCUGCCUUGGGUCAUUUGACAUAUAGCUUCUCAUUUCCCUUACCAUGGUAACCACUAUUUCAUUCUCCCGCAUGGUGUAUUUGACUUUUUGUUUUGAUUCCACUUAUUUUUCCUUCUGUAUCUAGCUUAUUUCAUUUCACACAAUGCCCUCCAUGUCCAUCUAUGUCACACCAAAUGGCAGAAUAUAGUCUUAUUUUUUUUAAAGCCAAGUAAUCUCUCUUUCUCUCUCUCUCCCCCCCCUCUUUGUGUGUGUAUCACAUUUUACUUAUCUGUUCAUCCAUUGAUAGAUACAGAUAUUUCCAUAUGUUGGCUAUUAUGAAUCCCAGAGUGUUUUUAGAGAAAUUCCUUUAAUUGGUAUAACAUUUUGCAAGAAUUCUGGAUUUGAAAGUUAACUCCCUUUAGUAUUUAUUCACAUCUCAUGAUAUUCUUCAAAAAUAAGUCAUAUUUAUCACUGUUACACUGUAUUCACUCCAUCCUUUCAAACUAUGAUAAGGAAUUUAGAUAAACCUGCAUUCAGGCUCCAUCCUCAUAAAUAUCUCAAGACCCCAUGUAAUCUGAGUAAGGCUUUUAUAUUGGUGAUUCAGUUUCAGGGUACUGAUGAUAAGACCACUGGUUGUUUAGUAGGUAUUGAGCUCUGGAUUUAUUUGGUUAUUCAUUUGAGAAGUUCAUACAAUGAAGGAGAUUUCAAGUUUGAUUACAAAAGCCAAGCACUUUUUUAUGUCCAGAAGGAGGAAUGGAUAAUGCUUAUACAGAUGGUAUGUGACCACUGCCUUCCUGGAAGUCUCUAAGAAGAACUGAUUCUUACAAUGUGUCAAAACCAAACAACUGUCAUGGAAGAGUUGUUGCUGGAAUAGAUUUGCUAGGUGAACUAUGCUGUGUGAUGUGAUUUCAUCUCAGUGUCUUUUCCACCAUGAGCUUUUCUUUCAUUUACAGGGCAACUCAUUAGAAUUGGAUUAAGAGAGCUUUGUGCAUGUUAAAGCUAAGACUGAGGGCCAGAACUGAAGUUAAACAGGUUAUAACCACCUUACCUCAAACCUUAAAACAUCCAAUAUUGGCCACUGUAUCAAUUACAGGAAACAUGAGAUUCCAUCCUCCAACUCCUAACUGCAGUUGCUCAUUUACACUAUUGUGUAGUGGCCAAAUCCAUGCUCUAUUGACGGAGCACAAAUUACAACAAACAUUUUGAUACUAUACAUAAGCUAGGAGAAUCUGAGAUGCAGGAGGAAUUCAGGCUAACAGAUAAGAAAACAAGAGAAGUGGAAAAUAGGAUGAGCAUAGAAGAAUUGCAAAAAUUAAGCUCUGGUUAAUCCCUUUUAUGGAAAGUGCUAAAAUUAGAGUUAAGGCCAAAGUACUUAGCCCAACUGAAAAGUGGGGACUACCCAUGAGAUAUCAGUCAGUUAAAUAGUAUACAGCCAGAAACACUAGGUUCUGUUCCUGGGUCUACUGCUAUUCAGAAGCACAAUGGAGGGAUUAAGAAUAUGGCCUUGGGGCUGGGGUUGUGGCUCAGUGGUAGAGACCUUGCCUAGCACAGAUGAGGCCCUAGGUUCAAUCCUCAGCACCACAUAAAAAAUAAAAAUAAAUAAUAAAUAAAGGUUAAAUUCUUAAAAAAAAAAAAAAAAGAAUAUGGCCUUGUAGUUUGUGGGCAGGGAUGGUGUUUAACUGUGCAUGAGCUUGAGUAAGUUACUUGAUCUCUCUAUGCUUCAGUUUUCUCAUCAGUGAAAUAGAGAUGAUAAAAAGUACCUACCUCCUGGGAUUUUUGUGAGGAUGAAAAGAAGACACAAAGCCCCCAGAAUGAAUUGAACCUAACCAGAAUAAGUUCUGAUUAAUGGGAGCUAUUGUUACCUGUUAAGUGGAACUGUUUAUUUCUGCCUUGACCCGUGGAGAUGAGGACCAGAUGAGAGUAUGAAAGAUGAGAGAGCCUGUUGUAAUAAAUCCAACUUGUCGUUAUGGCUGUGUAUCUAUACAGAUAGGGGGUUACACAAAAUAUGGAGGGAGUGGUCACAAUGCUUCCUGCACAGAUGGGUCCCUACCCUGGGACUGAAGGAAAGUCAAGCAGCCAAACUCACAGAGCAGGCACAAGAUGAAGAAAAGGAGGGUGAAGAAAUCGGGAGACAAAAUCUUUAGUAGGAUACUAUAUCAGUCCCUGAGGGUCAGGCCUGACCCUCAUAGAGCAUAUCAUUCCUUGGAAAAGGGGAACUAGUACAUCCUGAUAAGAAAGGUGGACUUUGGAGUCAGAAAGCCUCACUAUUCUUUAUUUACUUAACUAUCUGGUAAAUCAUUUAAAUCAUCUAUGCCACGUUUCCUCAUCUGUGAAAAAGACAACACACCAACACCUAGAGUUGUAGGACAGGCUCGAUGACCUUGUCUUUGACAAGUGCAGGACAUUAACAUGUCUUUAAGAAAUAGUAUUUUAUUAUUAUUAAUUUUAUUAUUCAAAGAUCAUUCAACAACUACAUCUGUGCUAGGGUGCUCUUCCUGUAUGUAUUGGGAUUAUAGCAAUGGGAAAAUAAAAGGAAACUUAAAAAAUGCUUGUUCGCCAAAUAAUAGGCUCUAUUUAAUAGAACAUAUUUUGAAUACCUGCCAUAAUCCCCUUCUAGGUUGUGUGUUCUCUAACAAGACAGCUGACGAUUUUUUUUUGUAUUCAAUGACUUCCACACCAAAUAAAGGUAAAGGUGUGUUAGCUGAGAACAGUGAGAUCAGACCCACUUACCAGCUCCAUAAUUCUUGCGAGUUAGGGCAGCUCAGCCAUCCCCAUUACCAAUUUCCCUCCUCAGGGUCUGUUUCAAGGCUCCCUAACUCACACUAACCAAUGGAUAUUUGCGAAGAAUUUAGUCCAUGACACUAAGAAGAGCAACAAAAUGGAAAAAAAGGAUGGACAGGCCAUAAGCUGCUAAGGAGUGCUUCCAAAAUGCAGGUCCACAUGGAUAUCUGUUUCUGAAAAUUCUGUGUAAACUAAGUCAGAUUUUAAAUGAACCCAAGACUUUUUCAAUAAGAAUGAAUCUUUGUUGUAUAUUUUCAAAUGUCAAUACGUGUAAAACUACAUUGGCUAGAUUUCAGGACACCAACAAGUUAAUAACAGGCUUUUAAUUUUUUUUCCUAGGAAGAAAACAAUAAAUAAGAAAAGAAAAUUACAAUAAGAAUUAUAAGGCACAUCCCAAUUUUAGAAACAUUAACAUGGAGUAGGAGUCGGGGUUAGUGGGGAGGUUUAUCAAGGAAUCUAGAUUUGUGUUGGCCAAGUAGAGAACAAAAAACAGGAGACUCAGAAUUGGAAGCCACUAUUGGGAUCCUGAUUCUACCUCCUUGAAAAACUCACUUCACUCCUCGGACUCCAGCUUCUCAUGCAUAAAAUACAGAUGCAGAAUCAGAUGAGAGUUAGGUCUCAGUUAGUGGCAAAUUUAAUUGGGACCUAGAUUGAUUGAUGUUUCUAUGACUCAGUUCCUGACAGGAGACUCUUGGAUAAAACUGUCUGCUGUCUGCUGCAUGUGAUUUUAUGAAGAAGCACUUUAUAUUUCCUCCUGUUUUAAGUUUCUCAGUUGGGGCUUCAACAUUUUGGAAUCAAAGGAUGAUGGGCUAGGUAGCUGCAGCAUGUUCCAUUCCUCUCAUUUUAUCUGGGCCUUGGAAGUGCCCAAGGGAAUCCACAGCCCUGUUAGAUUCCUGUAGGAUAGAGGCAGAAUAGUACAGACAGAAUGACAGCUGAGGGCAGAGAGGAGAUCCCAUGGUGACCAGGUUUGAACUCCGCUUCCCUAUUCUGGGGAAACAACCCACUGGAUAAUCUGUUAAGAAGCCUGGUCUAUGGACCCCACCCACUGUUGUUUCUUUGAGGGAAAGAGUGCCCUAGGGAGUCAAAGGGAACACAAAACAGUAUUUGACUAUCACUUCCUAAAAUGAGAAGUAAGAUUUGACUGAGAGAAGUAAAAAUGAAAACAAAAUGGAUAAAUAUGCUUAUGCCUCUUUACUUCUCAUCAGGGAGAUUUUGAGGACUGAGUUGGGAUUUGAACCCAUCCUGGAGUUCUUAAACUCAGGAAAAGAGCCACUGUUUGGUGCCGAAUUUCUAAGGGAAGUAAUGUGUUGCUCAUUUUAAAUGCCAGCUCCUUCUAUUCCAUUACAUUCCUUUUCAUGCAGGAGAAACAGAUGUUUGAGUUUUGUAGUUUUCAUUGCUGAUAUCAGCGGUAUGCUGGAAAGCCCUGAUUUAGAGCAUCUGCUGUGGCUGCCUUCAGGCUACCUACCUGAGAUCACUGACCUUGGAGUUGGAAGACUCCACCAGCCAGCUCUAGCAUAACACAGCUGGUUAGUUUUUAGCUUUAUACCAGAUAGGAGGAACUGCCAGAUUGCAAGUUUUCUACAAUUAAUUCUAAAAUUGUUUCUAAAAUUAUUUAAGCUUAUAGCUGCAAAAAAUAAAGGGAAACGGAUAUGUUACAGAAAUGUUCAGUAUAGAAAUUAUGAAUGUAUAGCUCCAAGAAUUUUCACAAAUUGACCACCAUUGUGUAAUUAGCACUAAAUCAAGAAACAGAAUCAUCAGCCCCUGGAAGCCCUCUUCAUGCUCCCUUCCAGUCAACAGUUUCCCCCAACCCCGUAACCAACGCUAACCAGUAUCUUGCUUUCUAGUGGACCAUAACUUUGUUUUUUUGUACAUUAUAUAAAUGUAAUCAUACAGCAUGCAUUCUUAUGCAUGGAUUCUUUUGCUUAACUUUAUCUCUGUUGGAUUCAUUCAUAUUUUGCAUGUAGUUUUAGAUCAUUCAUUUUCAUAGUUGUAUAGUAUUCCAUUUUACAAAUAGUCCAUUGACAAAUAUUCCACAACUUAUCCAUUCUACCUUUGAAUAGUUUAAGGUCUGGGCUAUUCUGAGUCGAGUAAGCUAUAAACAUUAUAGUACCUAUCUUUUGUGCACAAAUGUAAGCAUUUCUAGUUGGCAUAUCCCUAGAACAGGAAUUGCUGGGUGAUGAGGUACGCACAUGCUCUGCAUUAGCACACAUUGCAAAACUUUGUUAAUAUGCAUUGGUGCCCUCAUACAUGCCCACCAGCAGUCCUCUUCAUUCUCACCAAUACUAACUAUUAUUUGUCUUUCAUUUCAGCCAUUCUUGUGGAAUUGUAUCAAAAUUUAUAACAACCAAUGGAAUUAAGCAUAUUUUCAUGUUUUCUGGUCAUUUGAGUAUCCUCUUUUGUGUUGUAUCUGCUACAUUUGUCACCUUUUUAUUGGUUGUCUGCCUUUUCAUUACUCUCCUUAAUAUCUUUUUAAAAAUAUUUUUUAGUUGUAGUUGAGCAUGAUACCUUUAUUUUAUUCAUUUACUUAUUUUUGUGUGGUGCUGCGGUUUGAACCCAGCGUCUCUCACAUGCCAGGCGAGUGCUCUACUGCUGAGCCACAGCCCCAGCCCCUCUUCUUAAUAUGUUUUUAAACCACAAAUACUUUAAAAAAUCAAAAUGAAACAAAACCUGAUUCUGAAAUACACUUCUUUUUUUCUUGUAAUUUUGACUUGUGAGCCAAAGUACCAAUCAGAAAAACUUUACCACUUCUGCCUUUUUUGUUGUUGUUAAUAUUUAUUUUUUAGUUUUCAGUGAACACAACAUCUUUGUUUGUAUGUGGUGCUGAGGAUCGAACCCGGGCCACACGCAUGCCAGGCGAGCACGCUACCACUUGAGCCACAUCCCCAGCCCCUCUUAUGGCCUUUCUCAUGAUGCAGAUCAUUUCCAACACUAAUUGUGGCUCUCUAUCAAAUUGAUAGUAGAUUUGUGCAUAUUCUUAGCUUUACUUAGAAAUAUCAUAAGGCAAUUUAGGGUGAGGAGUUCUUAAGAGCAAACAGUGAAAAUGCAAAUACAUUUAAAAGAACAAUUCUUUUUUAAUUGAAAGUAAAAACUGUAUCAAAUAGUUGCUAAAAAAGCAAGGAAGUAAAACCUCAAUAACCUUGAAAAAGUCAUUCUGAUUUCAUAUUAAAUAUGAAUUGUAGGAAGUUUCCAGGGUGAGUCUACUUUUUUCUUUCUAUAAUUCCAUAGAAGUACUUUGUUUCUUAUCUGUAAGUCUUUUUUAGAAAAACUUUACUCCAACUGAAUUCCUUCUAUGCGUUGUAUGGAAUAUCUUAUUUUUUUUUAAAUCCAUGUUUAAAUACCUGGGUGCAAUAUAUUAACUCACAACUUAUUGUAUGGCAAUAAUCUAGACAAUUUUUAAAUAGUUCGCCAUUUCAGUGGGCAGGAAACUCCAUGGAGGGCUGGAUGUGUCCAACAUACCAAGUAGCAUUCCUGCUUGAUUUUUCUCCGGAGGUUUUAUCCUAAAUGAAAGAGAAAGGUGAAGUAUUAGUACUAUGAUUUCAGGAAAAGAUUAAUUUUUCCUAUGAAGAAGAAGAAGAAAGAAAUUUCCUGAAGUGUUCCAGAGAGAACCAAGGAUACUCCCAGAACCUCCUGAAGGCCCAGACAUAUUUCCCAAAGCCAGGCCUGCCCAGCCCUGUCAAGCAUGCUUUCCGUUGCACAACAUGGACAGCCCAGGGCAAAUCAGGGAAGAAGGGGAUGUUCCCCUCCUGUGCAUUCUACCUCUCUUGUCAUUGUGCCACCGCUUCAUGGUGCUGAGACCAGGACUGGUAAGUCGACAGCACCUUGCUGCUCCUCUCUUCUGGGCCAAAGCAACCAUCACUGCCAGUCAUGACACUUUCUCCACCAAGUCCAGGGGCAAUCUGAAUGCAGCUUGGAAUCCCUCACACAGCACACUGGAGUUAAAGUCUUAAUUUGCCAUCAUUUCUUAGGUGAUGUGCUUUUUAUUCAGUCUUCCGUAUCAGUGUACCAAAGCCCCAGAGGAUAAAUACAUUCCCUUUGCAUUCCCAAGAUUAUUCACACUGUCUUACAUGGUAGUCUGCUUUCUGAAUCUCUGACUGGUUUUCUUCACCAGUCCUGGAUGCUUCCCACCUACAGUAAGAAAUAGAAGAGGAGAGGAGAGGGAAGGAGACAAGAGGAGGGAAGGAGAAAGGAAUAGAAGGAAGGAAGGAAAGAGGGAGGGAAGAAAGACGGGAGGGAAAGAGGGAGGGGAAAGAGAGGGAGAGCCAAUCUAGAAAUAUAAGUCAAAUUCCUGUGGGGCCCAAAUAAUACAAGCAAGGUUUGCAUACUUAGUCCACAGGAAUAGUUUUCACCUUCAGAAAGAAAUACACUGUCCUAUUUUUCUGGAACUGUAUGGCCUUCAUUCUAUCUUUUAUUUAUCCAUUUUUGAAAAAGACAUACUGUAAGUUCUCAGCAGAGAAAGAGAAACUGUAAAAAAGAACUAAUAUAAACACUAGAAAUCAAGCACUAUGUAGUAAAUGAAGAAUGUGUUCAUUAGCUUAGAAACAGAUAAGAUAGCAGAGGAAAGAAAAGAAUCAGUAAACCCCAAAUAAAAAAUCCUCUAAACCAAAACACUAAGAGGAAUAACAUGAAAACAAAAACACAGAACAGAGGAUCUGAAACUUGCAGGAUGAUAUUAUAUGACCUAACAUAUAUAUCAAUGAAGUCCAGAAUGGUGGAGAUGGGGAUGGAACAGAAUAACUAUUUGAAGACACGAGGCCUAUGAAUUUUUCCAAAGUUGAAUCAUAACUUUAACCCACAGAUCCCAAAAGCUAAUAGAGCCCCACAUGGAAUAAAUGAUCUUAAAACAAUAAUACUGUAUGUUUUCUAGAAGGAAACAUAGGCAAAUAUAUUUUCAGUUUGCAAUAAGCAAAAACUUCAUACAGAAGACAACCACAGAAGAAGAAUAUAUACAUUGAUUGUAUUAAAAUCUACAGAUAAAAAAGGCAUGAAGACACAGACUAGACAAGAUGACAUGUAUCAACAGACUUGAAUUUAUUCCUGUAAUGAAAAUAAACAAUCCAAUUAAAGAAUGACAAAAGACUUGAGCAGACACUUUAACAAAAACAGUGUAGGAAUGGUCAUUAAGCACAUGAACAGGCACCCAACUUCAUUCAUCAAGUUAAUGUGAAUCAGAACCACAAGAAGACCAUUUUAUAUUACUUAUUAAAAUUACAAAGACUGGCAAUACUAAAUGUUAGGAUAUGGAAAAACUAGAACUUUCUACUGUUACUAAUGAGAGAACAACAAUUUUUGGAAAAUUGAUAGUUUCUUAUAAAGUUAAAUAUAUACUUACACUAUGAAUCAAUAAUACCACUGUUAGGAAUUUACCCAAAAGAAAUGAAAACAUACACCCAUGGAAGACCAUGCUGGAAUGUCCACUGUAGUUAUAUUAAUAAUAGCUUAACACUGGAGAAAACCCAAGUGUCUCUGGUAGGAGCAUGAAUAAACAAAUUGUGGAAUGAUCACAUGGUAGAUACUACUCCGCAGUUCAAAGGAUGAACUCAAGAUACAUGCAAUAAUAUGACUGAGUUGCAAAAAACAUGUUGAGUGAAAGAAAGCAACAGACUCUAUAUACCUAUCAUGUAGUUCUGUAAAAAAUAAGAAAAGUAUAAUAUAUGCCGAGAAUGUGAGGCUGCUGAUGUAAGAAAUACUGAGGUAUUAAGGAGGUCGGCAAGAUGGCAACAGGAAGGUGGGCUGAUGAAAGACUUUGAAGGCCUGGCAAAGGGGGUGGGAAUUGACCAGACACAAAAUGACAAUAGAUUCUCCACAGGUAAAUAAUAUAGUGAAAAUGGAUUUUAUCCUAAAAUUCAAGUACAGUUUGAUUUGUGAAAGGGGGAAACAGAAAGCUGGAAAAUCCAUUACAAAUUCUCAAGUGUUCCAGGCAGAAGGUGAUUUAUCUGUGUUUUCUGGUUUGAAGGAAUUCUACUUGUUUAAAUGAAAGCCGUUCAAAAAUCUUAAAAUGUGGGUAAAACACUCAAAGUAUUUGCUCCAUAUUUUCCACUGAAUACUUCAUUUGGAACUUGUCAUCUGGCUAGUGAGCAGUAUUCUAAAGCUUCCCCUAUGGUUAGAUAUCCCCAUUAGAAGAAUAGGGCAGUAUUUUUGUUGUUUUUACAUUCUCUUCACUGCGCUCCCAAUCCUGUGCCUCCAAUUUGAAUACUGGUGAACAAAUGGGGAAAAAAGUAAAUGUUGAAAGAAAACGCAACCUCAUUAUGUGCAUUUUUAACAGAUGGCCUGAAUUUCUCAUUAUUAACGAAGGCACCUGAGUAAAUGCUAUGCUUAUCAGCUUCCACAAUUGCUGCUUCUGUAGAAACCAAUUCAGAAGUCAUGUGGUAACCAUAGUAACAUGAGGGCAAGUUGUAAAAGUGGCGUUUAGGGGAGAUGAAAAACCUCUGCCACUUCUCUGCUCUCUGAUCCUUUGUAUUCUGCUCUCCCCAUCCCUGUAGGAAAGAGCUGAUUUCCCAGGACAACUGCAAGGGUUGGUUGUGCUGGCAGAAAGGAGGAUAUAUUGGGGCUAGUCAUGGCCUGGAAGACUCAGCCUCCAUUUCAUCAGAUCUUUCUUUACAAACAGAUUCUAGCCUGCCCUGGAGAAGUCAGAAUACCAUGGAACCAGUUCAGAGGUUCCACCAUCCUUGUUUCUGAAGAAAAUGCAAAACAUUGCAUGAGCAUUCUUACUUGCAUGUAGAGAGCUAAGAAUAUAACCUAUUAUGCUUAAGAAUCGGCCAUAUUUUUUCUUAUUCUUCAAACAUCUCAUAAAAAAUGCCUUCCAUCAUCUUCAGGACAUUUGUCAUUUUGAAUUAGUGUGAUAGAGAUACUGAAUAUAUGGCUUAAAAGAGCUUACACAAAAUAGAAAUUUCUUUCUUGUAAAAAUCAAUGUAUCUGCAAUUGGCUGAAGUCUGUCCCUGCAUGUAUCUGUCCAUCAUUGGGGUCUAGGCACAUUUGGUUUUGCAGUCAUCUGCAUGGCCAAAGGUGGCUCACUGUAACACCUGCAUUCUCACAAGCACAAUGGGAAAAGGGGAAGGGAGUGUAUGUCCUGGAGCAUGCACCUACCACUUUUUCCUCACACCUUUUUAGUCAGAAAUUAAUUCUAGGGCCACACGUAGCUGAAGAGAGGCCAAGAAAUGCAGUCUUUAUUAUGGGUGAAGAGAAUUCACAUGCAGCUGAACCAAUAGCCUGGUUUCCCCAACCAAUAACAUUGGUACUGGCAGAAAUAACUUCCCAUUCUGUGAAUGUGAGGCUCACAACACCCAAGUAACUAGUUCAAGGGCAUUAAGGUACUAAGUGGUGUGUCCGGGCUAGACUUCAGUUUUGGCUCUGAGUUCUAGUGCAUGAUCAAGGGUGAUAUAGUGCAGGGAUGCCUUCUGGCCACUGUAGGAGGUUGCCCUGUUCUAGCCUAGGCUCCUAGAUUGUCAGGGGACUUUUCCCCCCCAUUUUCACUUGUUUUUCAAUCUCUUUUCUGAUAGGCUAUCAGUUAUCUCUUCUUGCUGUAAUCUGUUUAUGAAAGCACUACUAUCAAGCAAUUAUAGACUUAGAAACUAAAUAAAUCAAGGUUGUUAGAAUUUAAUUUAAAACCAGGGUAAAUUGGUUUUGAUUCAGGGCAGACAUCCCUCCCAGUUAUCUCCUGUUUCUUAUUCAAAUGUUUUAGUAUCAAAACAUUUUUUAAACAUAUGGAUUUUGUAAGUGUGGCUCAUUUUUUUAGUCAGGAGGAUACAUUACUAGAAGAACAGAUUAAAUGAUUAUUUCGCAACAAAAAUAGAGGAAAACAAAACAUGAUUUUCCUGCCUUCUGAAAUUUCUAAUGUGUAGUGUUAUUUCUGUCUAUAUUUUGAAUGUCUCAUAAAUAGUUGGUGAAUAGAUUUUAAAAUUUAAAAAAUUCAAGAGUGAUUUUUCAACUAUUACAAAUCAGUACCUUACAUUUUAAACUUAAAAUGAAUAAAUUUUAAAGUUUAUUUUAUUUUUGCAGAUAGAUUAUUAUCAUUAUUAAUAGUAGUAGUAGUAGUAGCAGCAGCAGCACCAGGGACUGAACCCAGGGGCACUUAACCACUGAGCCAAAUCCCUAUCCCUUUUUUAAAUUUGUAUUUUGAGGCAGGGUCCCACUAAGUUGCACAGGGCCUUGCUAAGUUGCUGAGGCUGUCCUUUAACUUGCAAUCUUCCUAUCUUGGCCUCCUGAGCCACUGGGGUUAUAAGAGUGAGCCACCAUGCACAGCCAGAAAGAAUAUUAUUAUAAAAGAUACAAGACUUAAAUUUUAAUAAUACUAAUUAUGGUGAUUUACAGAAAAACAGAUCUCUUCAUCUUUAAGAGGAAAUCAUAUUACUUAUACCCUUGAAGAGAAUUCAGGGAAUAUCUAUAAUUACUUUAGAUUAUUUUAGAAGAAAAAAAAGAACACAACAUUUUAAUUUUGUAAAAAGAGCAGCACUAAUAGUGAUAGUAGACAAUUCAUUUGCUCAGUCAUUUGCUGUGUGGCCACUUGAGUAAAUUUGCUUUUCAGUGAAAAAAUGGGCAGCAAUUUCUACCAAAGUGCUGUGGGGUGGUGGAGGCUUGAAGCAAAGCAUCAGUGGCCAUCCAGACAAUAUUUCUGAGUCCCUGUGCUAGCUACCCAAAAAGUUAUAUUAUUGAAAGCUCAAAAAAAACAAGGCUUCAAAAUGAUUUUGUUAAUGAAUGGGAGGUAGGUUCAUUUAUUCAUUCUUUUGUCUGAUGGGCAGAAACUAAGCCAAGCCAGAUGAAUAUUAACAGGUACAAGAUGUGGCCUUAAAUCCCUAUUUCACCUUUAUAAAUAUUUGCUCCUUGAUACAAAAAGCUGAAAAAAUUGACCUUUGAUUUGAAGAGAGAAAAGAGCAAGGCUUCAGCAAAUUGCAUUAUGUAUGAGAAGACAGCAAUGAUGGAGGAAACAAAGAAAGGGAGGGAGGAAGGAGUGAUAGAAAAAUCAAGAUCUUGGACCCGCUGCAGUUAAGAUAGUGAAAUUGUGAAACAGCGAUGAAGGAUAAUGGCAUGAGAAUACCAAAAUAAUGGCUGGAUUGUAGUUCAGUGAUAGAGCACUUUCCUAGCAUGCAUGAGGCCCUGGGUUUGAACCCCAUCACCAUAAAAGGAAAAAGAAAAAAAAGAAUAGCAAAAUAAGAAUUCUCCUAGUUUGCUGAGCUGUUGAUGUAAACCAACUGUCUGGGUCAUUUAUUUUGUAUUCAGAGUGGGUGCUCUCUGAUGGAUAGCUCACUGUGCAUAUGUGAAGUGACAUUUCCAAACCGCUUGGAAAAUGUUGGACUCAUUUGUUGAAUGUCAGGUUUUACAUGGGAGAUUAUGAGAUCUGGGAUCGAGAGAAUAGCGUAUCUGGCAUGGGGCAUUGUUUCGUGAUGAGUUUCCUUGUUUUGUUUUGGGGAAUUCAGCUUUGGAUAUAAAAUUAUUACAGUUGCAAAUUACACAUUGGUAUAAAAUUAAUGUUGAAUGUGCUGGAGCCAGGGCUAUGAAUUUGGUUAUUUUUAAUUUGAAAAAAAAAUUACUGUAAUAUUUUUCAUUCCCUUGUGGGAUAAAGAAUUAUUGAUUGCCAAUUAAUUUAUGUCUGAUUAGAGAGAUUUUUAAGCUUCUGCAAUACUCUGAUUUCUUGUGUGGAUCAAAGGUUUUUAAACCCCAAGUAUAAUUGUGGUCCCUUGUGAAGGUUUACUUCGCCAUGUCUGUAAUAAACAGACUCGAGGAGAGUGUUGAAUACUGAUCAUACUUAUCUGAAUUCAUAAAUCUUAAUGAAGGUUGUCCCUCAUGGCAGAGGAGUGCAUUAUGAAACUUUCCAGGGUUAUCUAAAAUAUUUGUUGAAUAAAUCUCAUGAAUUUAAGUGUCAUGUAAAAUACAAAUAUUGUAACUUCAAAUUUGUGCAAGUUAAGUUGCAUUUAUGGGUUCUAAGAUCUACGUUGUAUUAACAAAUCACAGAAACAAAGUGGCUUGAACAAACACAAAUUGGUUCUUUCAUAAACCUGUAGGUUAGAAAUUCAAUAUGUUCUGGGCUGAAAUAGAGGUGUCAUCAGGGAUGCUUUUCCUUCCAGUAACUCCAGGUAAUAGUUCAUUUCCUCACCUUUCUGGCUUCUAGAGGCCACCUCAUGCUCAUCUCCAAGACCCCCUCUUCCAUCUUCAAACCCAGCCUGUUUUCCUUUGACCAUUCUCCCCCUGAAUGUCUUCUCUCUCUUCCACUUUCAAGGCCCAUGAGAGUACACUGUGGUUAGAAGCCUGAAUAACCUCCCCAAUUGCUCAUUAGCAACCUAAAUUUUCCACCUGAAACUUUAAUUUCCUUUUGCCAUGUGGCCCCAUACAUUCUUGGAUCUGGGGAUUAGGAUGUGGACAUGUUUGGGGAGUCAUUAUUCUGACUAGUACACAUACUUUUUUCACAUUUCUUAAUCUCUGCAAACAAGGUUUAUAGUCAAUGUGAUAAGAAAUCAUUGUUUCAUGGUUUAAUUGACAGUGCUCUUCUUCCUUAUUGGAACAGUAAACAAGGGUAUAUUUUUACAAUUGACAGCUUUUAAAUUUAAUGAAAUAAUAUCAUAACUUCAAAAUAAUAAGCCAAGUAAGUAUAAAUAAGAUCCAAUUCUUUCUCUUCUACGUGAAUCAUAAAACAUGCUUUCAAAAUGAUGUCAGAAUUAUUUCCACAGAUGGAUUAUUUUUGUGAUAGUCUCUGAACUUCAGUUACUAAAUUUUAAGAUAAUCAGUUUUUAAAGUUUAGGUUAUCACUCAUCUUUUUUUCAAGAUGGUAGCUGAUUAAGUUGAUAAUGUAUUUCAUUAAAGAACUUUAAGACAGCAGAUCCCUUGUAAAUUUACUCUUAUCCAUAACAUGCUUCCUUUAUAUUUUAUACUCAAUUAGUCUUUACCUUUGGAUAAUAAUCUGUAAUGUUUCCCAUCUAUAUGAACACUGUUCUGAUCAAUUUUAAAGCUGAGCCUGUGGGUCUGAGACAUAUUCAGUAAAGUGUGAACUGCAAACUGAGGACAGAAUGAACUUUCCUGCAUUUGAAUUGAAGCAUCCCUAAUGGUCAGUGUGCACUGUGCAUAGACCUCCAUGAAGAUCCAGAUCUUUAUUUUUUUUAAUUAGUGCAUAUUAAUUAUACAGAAUAAUGGGUUUCAUUGUGGCAUAUUUAUACUCUGAUUAUAUUCACCCUCCAGUACUCUCCCUCACCCUCCUCCUUUCUCCUUCCUCUUCUCUAAUAAGACUCAGUUCUUUUAAAGAAGAUGCAGUCAUGUACUGCAUAUUGAUGUUUCAGUCAACAGUGGACCUAAUGCAUGACAGUGGUCCUAUAAAAUUGUAUUGCCUAGUGAUGCUGGAGCCAUCUUAGCUUGUGUAAGUACACACUCUAUGAUGCUCAUACAAUGACACAAUUUUCAGAAUGCACCUCCGUCAUUAAGUGAUGCAUGUCUGUACCAGGAAGGCUAUCCCUCAGCACACUGGGAGGACAUGGGCAUUUGAAAAGCUAACUCCUUUCAGGACUCUUGAGGAUCUGAUAAGUGCUGUUAGAAGGCCUAAAAUAAAGCUCAUUCUGUUGCCAUUAAUAAAACAUUUCAUAAAUAUGAAAUAAAAGUGCUCUGUGCCAGGCAUUUUUUUCAAGAUACUUUUUUGUUUCUGAGGUUUUGGAGAGGUUUUUUGUUGUUUUUUUGUUUGUUUGUUUUGUUUUGUUUGUUUGUUUACAGACAUUAAACAGACAAGUUUGUUCCAUGAGCACCAGCCACAUGAGAUAUGGUGCUCCAAUUAAAUUAUAUGACCCACUGAACUGUAACUCUUAGUGAUUUAUGGGCCAUGAUGUCUGAAUAUGGAAUCAAAACAGGAGCUAAGGAGGAACCUGCUUAGCUAAUGGAGUUUGACUACACAAUGGCAGCAACUAAAACGAAUGUUAGGAAGUCUUGGCAACCUUUGUACCUAUGUCAAAACUCCUACUUUGAAAUGAAGGACAUGUAUCACCGAAGAGAUAUGUCACAGAGGCUGUGUAGCUUUAGGCUAUCAAAAUCAUUUUCUGCUUUUCUUUCAAAAUCAAAUCCAUAGGGAUUAAAUGUAAAUUUAAUGUUGCUAAUAGCAACAAAGGCCAAAAAUAAAUAAGGGCUGGGGCUGUUAAUCAUCAAAUUCAAUUCCCAGGAAAGGAGGAGUUCCAGCAGACACACAAUAGGAGGUAAAAAGGUUUUGAAGAGGUGUUAUUAACUAAGAAGUUAAUUCUUAAUUAUGUUCACAGACCUUGGUUCUUGUCAUUUUUAAGGGGUUUCCUUAUUGGGGAGUUUGUAGUUUACAUUUGAAUAGCUACAGGUUUGGGUUUUGUUUUGUUCUGUUUUUAACCAUAUUAAUGAUUUGGGGAAAAUAUAUUUUGAGAAAAGUAAUCAAAUGCCAAGCCAAAUAAGAAUAUUAAUGGAAGUAAGUAGCUGCAAUAUUGUGCCUUUUAUAUCAGAGACCUUAAAUAUGGAUGGUUUGGCUAUUCCAUCUUUUUCUUUGGGAAGCCUUUUAUAGCUCAUUAACAAUUCCAGAUUCGGAAAAUUUAGCUAUUUGUGUUACACUCCUCUCUGCUAAUUACACCCACACUAGCAAGUUACAUAAAUACAUCUCUUCCUGGGUGUUUUGUAAAAACCUCCCAUCCUCAAUGUGCUGCAGAUGCUUGCCAGGUAAGACUUGCCUGCCCUCACCCGACCUGGCCCAAAUUUGCCCUUCAGUCCUUUCCCCACUGUGGUACUUUUGGCUAAGAAAAUCACAGGUCCCCCGAGGGCCCUUGUGCAGGCCAAGGAGGGAGGGAAUAAAGAAUAAAUGCAAGAAAGGAAGGGGAAAAUAAAGAAGGGUAAAUAGAAACAAAGCUAGAGAGACAAAGACAGAAAUGGGGAGAGAGAAAGAGGGCCCUGCAGAAGCCUUUCAGCCCUUCAUGACCUAACCUCAGAUAGCACUUCACUUUGAACUCCUCUUUUACCCACUUUCAUACCUUCACCCAUCUCUCCACUCCAGGCCCUCUACCAAGCUCAUUCCCUCUGCCUGUAUUAUUAUGUGUGACAAUAUAAGUAUGUAUGUUUAUAUUUUGUAGUGUUACACACACACACACACACACUUGUAGUUUGAAUAAAUGAAAAAACAAAUGGAUAGUAACUCUAAGGCCAUUCCUAAGUUGCCCUGACCCAUUGUGGCAGCACUGUAACAAAUGUGCCCUGGAGGGUUAGGAAGGACCGGACUCCACUGCCUGUUACUCCAAGUCAUGGUGUAGAAUUUGUGAACUCCGAAUCUAAGUCAGCUAUUUGCUUACAAAUCUGCUGAUUAUUCAGGCCAAACUCAAAAUUCUUUGAGGCUUUUGAAAUGCUGGGGUGGUUAUCUUUAAUAUCAAUAUAUCAAAAAAUUAAACAUUCAGUAUUUUAAAGGCAAGCUUGCCUUAUGGAUCACUGAUCACAAGACAAAUUGUUCUGCUGAUGAGAAGAUAGUUUAGACCUUUCCUGAAAGCUAACAGAAUAAAACCAAGCACAAUGUCUAUGGUUCCUAAUUUUAAAAAUUUAGCAACAAGUUGGUCAGUAAUGAUAAUACCACAGGAAACAGGAACAUCGAGACACCUCUGGAUCCAUGGCAGUCUGACAGUCUGUGCCUCUCUGCUUGUGGUUUUUCCUCUUCUGGGAAUGCUUCUACUCUUGAGCUUCAGCUCUCUCCGAGGCCUCUUUCAAACCCCACUACUCAAAUUUGAACCUGUGUUUCCUUCUGGUGACUCCACAGUAUUCUGUGUGCACAUAGACCUUAUACAUACACCAUAACAAUUUUUUUGUGUUUAUUUAUGUUUUCAGUCCCAUCAUGAAACACCAACUUCUUAAUAGCCAAGUCUGCAUCAUGUUGAACUUUAUGCCCCUAGUAACCAAUCAAUGAUUUUCACCUGGGACACACAAAAGGGAAGGGUCUGAUGAAUGAACAGGCAAGAAAAUAAAUGUAUGAACUUUCUUAACUGUGCUUCAUCAAAAAGAAAGCAUGUGAGGACAUUUACUCAGCAUCCUGCUACUGUGUUCACUGAAGAAAGGAUUGAUGCCUCUCUUUUUAGACUGUCACAGUGAAUAUGGUUCCUGUCUGAAAGGUUUGUUAGAUGCGAAUUCUCAGGACUGGUGUUUGGGGACAGAAUUGCAUGAUAUUCUGCACAGCCUGUUAUGACAUGUGCAGAUAAAUAUUCAAAAGGCCGAUAUUGCCCAUGCAGUGCAAUGAUUUCCCUAAGCUGCUAAAAAAUCAUUUAACCUGAAAAUUUCUACACUGUAAAACAAUUGGGAAUUCAAUUUGGUAUAGCUCUACACGCAUGGUUCUAACAUUAAAAAGACACUCUUAUAUGAGUAAAAUUUAGGAAAAGGCAUCUUGAAGAAGGUACUAAUGAGGAAAGAAAAUAUCACCUUGGGGCACCUAAAUGAAGGCAUGUCCUAGAUACAGUUAAAGAUAUGUUACAGGGUAUUUUUUUGUUUUUUUGUUUUGUUUUGCUUUCAGGUACUGAAGAUUGAACUCAGAGGCACUUUUCCACUGAGCCCUUUUUUAAAAUUUUUUUAUUUUGAGACUGGGUCUUGCCAAGUUGCUUAGGGUAUCAAACUUGAGAUCCUCCUCCUCACCCUCCCUAGUUACUGGGAUUACAGGCAUGCACUACCGCACCCAGCUACAAGGAUUAUUUUUAAAGUAUAAAUUACAUAAAGAUUUACAUUCUUAAAAUAGGUUGUUCUUUAAUGUGAAUGAAAUAGAACUUUGUGUUAAAAGCUACAUAUCAUCACCCAAUUGAAAGCUUUCUCCUUUUUCUUUUAAGAUGUGUUGCAUUUUCUCACUGGCAUACUCUAUGGUCAUUAAGAAAGACUUAAUUUGCUUAUUCCAGAAUUGAUAUUUUUUCACACCCUUCUUUCUCUUCUGUAUUAGGCAGAGUUCAACCAAAGAAGUAAAACCAUUAGGGGAUAUAAUGGGUGGAUAGAUGUAUGUAUGGAUGGAUGGACGGAUAUAUAGGUAUUUUUAUUACCAGAAUUUGACCUUACAUGAUUGUGGGAGGAACUGAUUAAGCAGUCUCAAUAAGACUAUUGACUUCACAUCUGAUUCUAGAGGGUGAAGUCCACAGAGCAGGCAGCCACACAGGCUGGGAAGAUGAAUGGAAGGGGAGAAGAGCGAGAGGAGGCUAAACCCCGCAAGCACAAGCUGGAGUCCAUGAGGAUGAACAGAAACCCAUAUCAGUUCUGGCUUCUGCCCUUGGUAAUAUGAUGAAACUGUUUUGCAGAGCCUGGGGUGUUUUGUCAUGGAACUAAACACACGCACAUGUGCCUGGCUAGGGAAACUGGAGAAGCUGAGGGAAAAUCCAAGGGAAUGUGGGACAGUUGCAGGUACAGUUGCUGCCUCUUGCCACCUACUUGAGCCAGCAGCAGAUGCGACAUCAUGUAUCAACCACAAAGUGGCUGAUAACUCAUUUCCCACUUCCCGGUCUCCCACAAGAAUCUUUCUUGUGUCCCACUCAAACUGGACAUACAGGACAAGGAGUUCUGGGAAAUACAGUUCUGCCUACCCUGACAAUUUCAAAGCCACCAACUCUUCUCAGUUCCAUUCUACUGCCAAGAACUGAAGUGCACCCACGUAAUUAGUGAGCCACCUGGUUGUAUGAAGUCUGUAUGCAUGUCCUAUAGAACUGGUUAAGUGCUCUUAUCAGAUCAAUAAGCACUUCAGUGCCACCCCAGAUGAUCUAACUUUGAUUCUAAUUUGUUCUCCAUCUCCACAAUCUCUUUUCUCCAUUGUUCCCACUAUUCCUGCCUUCCUCCUUUGGAUGUUUCCUCCUAGCUCAGUGUCUCAGCUGCUCUCUGCUCACAAGACCAAGUAUUAUACACACUCUGGCUUAUUUCUUCCCCCUCAUCUCUCCUCCUUCCAUACUUAACUCAUCAAUUAGCCAUUAGCAUGUAAAAGUUCUUUUUAUUUUUUUUUUUUUGAGGUGUUGGGGAUGGAAUCCAAGACCUUGUGCCUGCUAUGCAAGUGCUCUACCACUGAGCUACAUACCCAACCCCUAUCAUUUGAGGGACGAGGAAAGAAACCUUUAAAAAUUUUCACAAUAUGCCCCUAGAAUCAAGAGUAGCUAUCAACCUUGGAAGAUAUAUUUUAAAGUUGAGGCCAAUUGCAAGCUUUAUAAACAGUGCAUCAUUUGCUCCUAAGAUUCUUUUUUUUAAUUUUUUUUUUAGUUGUAUAUGGACACAUAUCUAUCUUUAUUUAUUUUUAUGUGGUGCUGAGCAUCUAAUCUAGUGCCUCACACAUGCAAGGCAGGCACCCUACCACUGAGCUAUAACUCCAGCCCCCUGAGAUUCUUGAUAAGUGACAGCUCAACUAAGAUAAGGUUUCCUUUCUGUCUGAUUUUUUUUUUUUUACUGUGCUCAGACACACAUACCUGGCAUCAGCAUAGUUUUGAUUCCCCUUACAUCAUGAGGGUCUAUAUAUUGUUCCUUUGUGUGUAUUUGUUCAUCUCUAUCAUGUAAUGUAAUGAACACCCUUUAGCCCACCAUUCAACCCAAGGACCAGGGCACUGCAGAUAACUUGCUUCUAUAUGCAUUCUCCCACACAGCAAUUAAUCUCUUUUCCCAGACCCAGCCCUUAUCUUUUAAAUCAACAAUUAUAAAUGGGCAGAAGACAAUAAUUCUAAAUAUAAGACAUUUGGAAAGACAAGUUCUGAGGAAUACAUUUCUGCCUACUUUGACAAUUUCAAAGCCACCAACUCAUAAAAAUGAUGUGCCCAGUAGCAAUGUUCUUAGAAAAAUCACAGGAAGAAGAUAUAGUAUAGACAUUUUUGGACCUUAUGUGGGCAAGAUAUGCCAUUAAUGAACACUGUUGACUACUGGAUGAAGUUUUAUGGAAAAUAGAGAGCAGAGAUAGAGAUGAGCAUUCUUGGAACCAAGGACAACUAAGAUUAAGAGAGGAAGAGGAGGAGGCCAGCUUUGUGAUCACUCAAAAAAAGGUUGGAAACAGUUCUGGAGUAAGAAUAGCCUGCAGCAGCAGGUCUGUACAGAUUAGUCUCAGGGUCCUGGGAAAAGCCCAUGUGGAAGGUACACCAAUCCCUCCACCCCCACUACCAAUAAAACUGGGCCCUUGGUCACCUCCUAGGGUGAGUUAUCGCCCCUUGGAAGAAGAUGCCUGAUAAAUGGGAGGAGAGAAACUUCAUCCUGUCCUGAUAAGGUCAGGUUUGCCUUUGUAGCCAGCAGGUAAAAUUAAUGUGAUUUCAAGGUCUUCUUUCCUUCCCCAAAUUGUUCCCACUCUUCUCAACAUUACCAAAAAUUCUUUUAGCUACAGUCUUUCAUUUGACAAUGAGGAAUAAAAGAUUUAAAAGGGAAAUCUUUGUUUUACAUAAAAAUUUAAUGUAAGUGAAUUUCAAUAGAAGGAUAAUGGGUUUCUGGUUCUUUCUAGCAUUGAGAGAAGGGUCAAGGAGGGGAGUUGUCACCAGAGAAUGAGCCCAGGAGUCAAGGAGAGUACAGAACACAGAAAUGCACACUUUGCCCACAUUGUCUUCUACUGGGUGGGGAUGAUGACAGUCUGGGUAGUGAGGGAUUUCUGUCACAUACUUGCAUUGGCUUUAAAAAACUAGCUCACUUAGCAUAAUGCUCACUUAGCAAAGUGCACUCAUCACAGUUUUGAAUGUUUUCAUCUUUAUUCAAAGCUGUACAUUCAUCCCCUCCUCAGACCUGUGCUGAGGACAACCACCUGUCUCCAAUAGAACUUGCUGCUCCAGCAAGAAUACCAACAUUCAGAAGAAACCCCAGGCUUAAGAGAUUCAGGGAUACAGGGUCACUUUGAAUUCAGUUUGUUAAUUAUGUUGCUAGAUUAUUAGAACUGUUUUCUUACUUGUACAAAUUAAUGUUAUGAUUUAUAUAAUUGUCAUUAGGAAAACAUUUAUGUUAUUUGAAAUGCUAGAUUUUCAAAUGUUAGAUUUUAAAAUAAAAAACAAUAGAUUUUAAGGUAGUAAGAGAUUUCAAAGAAGUAGAAAUGUAGUAAAGUGAACAGCAUUACUCUUAUACAAUAGCAUCUUGUAAUCUUAACCAAGAAAUAGAUCUAAGAAAAUAAAUUCCUACCUUACUGGAUGCCUUAAGAACUGCUCUAGGAAUCUGAUCUUAUCAAAGAACUAGAAGUUGCUGGAAAUAAGAGGAAAAUUUGCUCUAAGGUGCUUUCAAAUCUAUUCCCCCCACCUUGGAUUAAAACAUCACUGCAGUUCAAGAGAGGGCAGCGCUGAGCAGACCCACAACUGCAGCUCACAACAGUAUCCUGAACAUUGUUCUGAACAUUGUUCCAUGUGUGACUUCAGUGGCGGGUUCUGUGGUCACCUAGAGUAACAUGCCCUUGCUUGUGCAAGCUUACCACAAGAUUUUCUUCAAAAUGACUGAAGAGUUAUUCAGUCAUUUACAAAAUCAGCCAAUUCCCACGGUGAGAUUUAUUUCCGUGGGAGUCAAAUCUUAGACUCUAACCAGCAGAAAGAAAACUGUUGCCAUGGAAACCAUUCCUAUUUUCACCAAGCUGGAGCUACAGUUCACUUACAUGGAAAUGAAUUGACAAAGAUGCUCAGGGAAAGGAUGAAAAAUAUCAGACAGAGCUUAAAUUCACUCUUUUGAAUAACAUUAAUGAUCAUUUCUAGUUGUAUUGCAAAUGGAAAUUAGUCCAUAAAUACUGGAUCCUAACAAACCUUUCAAUACUACUAAGGAAAAACUUUAAUCUAAUGUAAGUACUAUUUAAGAUAUGCUAAAGAAUUUCCUUUUGCCAACAAAGAUGGUCAAUUAUUAGAAUAAAAUUCUUUUUUAAUUAGUUCUUGGAAUAAUUGAAGCAGUGGCAGUAAGAGGGUGAGUUAUGUUAAGGGUAAUUAUUUUCCUUGUACUCACACUCUGUAAAUGUAAUGUUAGGACUGUCAGGGAAGGAAUUUGUUGUUCAUCAUCAUUAUGAAAGGACUGCAUGCCUCUCAAACCCGUAGUCAAAUAGAAGGAACAAAGCACAUCUGCACUCAGAUUUUGCUUGUUACAAAUAGAGCCUUUCUGAGUUGGCUGCAAAGGGCACCUGCCUGCAUAUGACAAGCCUUGUGGUGUUUGUGCCUCUCUAAAGAUGAGACCCUGAAGGGUGAAGGUAAGAACAGAGGUGGUAUGUGUCAUCCAAUUCUGUACUCCAUGGCUUCAACUACUCCUGUUUCCCUGAAGAAUUGCCGCUUUUCAUAUUAGGCAUAAAUAAAAUCACAUCAUGUGGGAGGGCACACAGACCCACAGAGUUAGCAGUUGCUAUGUCAUUAGAUUUUACAUGUUUCUGGGUAUCUGUAGCAGAGGAAGAGCUGGCAGCAUGAUGUGGGGAAGCUUUCAUCAAAGGCAGCAGGGGCCUCCAGGGAGAGGACUCCCAAUAUCCAGUAUUAAAGAUAAUUGAGUGAAAUAUUUCUAUUGGUUAAUUUUAAGUGGCUUGAGGGGCUUGUGGAUAUCUAUUUAAAUUAAGAGAUCCAUUUGGAAAUAUUAAGGUUAUCUGAGGAACCAACUAACAAGUUCAAUUGUGUUUAAGAAUAUAUUACAAUUUUACAUUACGUAUACUCUCAUUUUAUGUAUGUUCUCUUCUAUGCCCGCGGAGUGUUUACCAGACAUUAUCAUGAACAUGCAUCUAUCCACAAAAUGAUGAUUGUAAAUUUUAAAGAAUAGAUAUUCUGUGAACUAGACACUCUGACCACCAAAAGCAGUAACCAUGAAUUUUUACUUCUUCUCCAUGAAAUCACUGAAUUUUCCAGUUUGACCCCAAGGUCAUUCUUGGUGUUGACAGAAGCCAUGACAAUAGUCAUUAGCAAUAGGAAAAAAACUAACUCAUCUAACAAAAACUUAGACUGGUGGCUGGGGUUGUGGCUCAGUGUUAAGGUGCUUGUACAGCAUGUGUGAGGCACUGGGUUCGAUUCUCACCACUACAUAUAAGUAAAUGAAUAAAAUAAAGCCCAUCAACAUCUAAAAAUACAUAUGAAGAUACAUAUUUUAAAAAAAAAAGUCAGACUACACUCUAUGUGCCAGGACCUUUUCCAAGGGCUUUACAUAUAACACCAAUGUGAAUUUAUACCUUUGCUAGGAAAAGAUUAUUAAGAUGCUUUUGAAAAAAUUGGGCUCCUCCCCCAAACCUGGUAAAUUUUAAAUGUAAGUUAUUAAAAAUGAGGUUCCAUUCUUUGCCCAUCCAGUUACAAAAAAAUAAAUAUGUAUCACUGAUAAUAUUUGAAGUGAGGUACACAGGAAAGAUUUAUUCUUACCAGCCUCAGCAGGCAUGUAAACUGGGUAACUCCUCAGAAGGACAUUUUGAUAAUGUGAUUUUUAAAACCCACUGAAUAUAAAGUUUGUUGAACAAAUAGUUUCACUUUCAGAAACAUGAAUAAUCAAGAAUAUAUUCAAAUACUUUACAACAUGAAUUUCAAUUCAACUCUUUUCAACAAAAUUAAAACAAAUUAAUAUUCUAAAAUAGAGCUCAAUUAAAUAAAUCAUGAUGUCCUGUAUAAUGUACCAUUGGUUUAUUUAAUUAAUUUUCUAUUUUAUCAGUUAAUAGCGUGAAUUAUGGAUCUAGACUGCUUGUUUUGUAUCAUUGCUCUGCUCUUUAACAGCUUUGUGACUAUGGGACUGCUUAAAUUUUCAUAUCCUAUCCUAUCACCUGUAAAAAUUAUUUUGAGAAAAAAAAUGAGAUAAUAUAUUUAAAGCAUUGCAAGCAGUUCCUCGUACAUAGUGAAUGUAAUCAAAACAUGUUAUAGCUAUUAAAAGGUGGUUGUAAAAAGGGUGGGGGAUAGUAGCAUAUUUAGAUAGAUGGAAAAUAUUUAUAGCCUACAAAAUGAAAAGGGUAGUUUUCAAGACAACAAACAACAUAAGCCCAAUUUUGUUGAUGUACAGAAACUGACUAUCUGUAUAUAAAUAUAUACAGAGUUUCUAUUUUUCAAAAAGAUGGAAAAUAGGGUUUAUUAUCAAAGCUAUUCAUAGUGUGUCUCUGGUGAAAUUGAAUCUUUUUUUCUUCUUCUACAUCUUUUUGAUUAUCUGAUUUUCCUGAAACAAACAGUUCUACUUUUGAAAUAAAAAAUAAGUUAUUUCUCAAAUAAAAAAUCUUACCCCAGUUAGCUAUGUAGAUCUCAUUGGACAUUUGCAGGGUAAGUGAUAAGUCUAUUCUGUUUUAACAUUUAAUACUCAAGUCUUCAGAAGAGCACAAAGCAUUGCUAUAUGAAAUAUAUUUCUGUGAUCUUUUUACUUUAUCACAUAUAUUUCUAAUAAUAUGUUUUUAAUUAGUUAGCAAAAAGCCUUUAUUUGUGUAACUGAAAUUUUCUAUCUGGGGAACUGAAAAGUCAUGGAUCUCAAAUCUGUUUUGUUUAUCCCAGAACUGUUCCCUGGCAGUAUGAAACAGAGCAGAAUGCUGUACCACCUGGAAGAACAUGGUGGCCCAGUGUGACAUGAAGGCAGUCAAAGGGGACUGCAGAGAAAACUGUUUUCUGGGAAAGGACUCAGAGCCUGUUUGUUAGGACCCUCCAAAAGAGAAGAUAGCAUAUGUAAAGAAACAGUCUAUUCUGUAGCCCAUCUCCAGUGUGUAAAAUCCAAUAUUUACCAAAGGCUUAGUUAGCCCAAGGAAGGCAUUGUUUUGAUCCCCAGUUGUUACAUACUUAGUAACUGCCUAACAACAUACAUAUCAGGAUUUAGAAUAUCCAUAAAAAGGCAUGCUCUCUGCAGAGCCUUGGGCAGAGAGGUGGUGACCUCACAGUCUGCACCCCUGCUGCUUUAUUAAAGUUUCAUGCCUUCAAUCACAACAAUCACUGCAUGAAUUCUUUAGCUGUUUUCAGCUCUCUGAUAGCCACAGACACAGCCAAUCAAUUUUCACCCAGGACACUGCGUGAGGUGACAGUUUCUUUUUGUUGUGCCCAAAGGCCAGAAAUAGCUCCCUCCAUCUCAUUGCAGGAAAAAACUACCAUGUUGGUGUGUAUCUCCAGCUUGAGAGAUCACUGUCUAAGGCAUAGAAAUAUAUUAUGUUUGGUGGGUCAUGUCUGUGCAGAGUAUCUGGCUGUGAAUUCAAAUUCUGACCAGAAUUAGCAUUGUCUUGCUGGAAAGGAGCUACUUUUCUUUUUUCCCUGAGAGGUAGAAAAGCUGCAUUUCUGUGUUCAAAUAUUAGAAUAUCCUAGAUUUGUGCUUUGUUAGAGAGAGAGAACUUUUUUUAUUAGAGCUUUAUAGUUAUACAUAAUAGUUGGGUUGAGAGAGAGAACUUUUAAAUAGACAUUAUCAAGCUCAGAAUGGUGGCCAUUUCAUAGAUAUUAUGGUUCCUUGGGGAUUGUGUCUUUUUGCUUUACCAUUGUUUUCCAAGCAUGAAUCACUGUGUCUCAUGGUCAUAAUCCAUAAAUAUUGGUUAAACUGAUAAAUCAUGAGACAGAUCAUAGUUUUUGUCUGUAUUAGUCAGUUUUGCUGCAGUAAUAAACAAUCCCCAACAUCUCAGUGGUUUAUCAAACUAAAGUUCAUUUCUUCCUCAUGAAGUAUGAUUAGAGGCAAUCUGAGGUUUUGUUCCAUGUAUCUUUUGAUUCUGAGGCCCUCAGCUGCUCUUUGGGAUGUGCUCAAUGGUAUGCUGAGUUGGCUUACCUCAAAAGAGCUGAUAUCUCUUACUAAGUGUAAGUUCAGUAAUGUCAUGUUGGUAUGCUAAAAUCAACUCAUGUCAUAAAAAUUGGCAAAUACUAGAAACCAAAAUUAGGUGGUUUUUGUUUCAUUUUGUUUGGCUUGGUUUGGUUUUUUGUUUGUUUGUUUGUUUGAUUGUUUGGAGAGUUUGUCAGUACACCACUGACUUGUAUGAAAAAUAGGAAGAGAAAAAGAGCCGCCAAAAAAUAACAAUUUCCCUUAAGGUUAACAAAAGUCAUGUGGCCAGAGAUGACAGUGAGGCAGAACACAUGAUCCAUCUUCAGGAGGCACAGCAGGAACUGACAGAAGUGCAGAAGGAGCAAGUAGUUGUGAACAAUACCACAACCUACCUCAAUGUUUGAAUAAUUAUUCAAAGUUUAUUAACUAAACCCCCAAAUCAGGACAUAUGGUAUGACAAAGCAUUUCAAUGAUUUAUGUGAGUAUAUUUUAAUAUUAUUCUUACAGAAAUAGCCCACAUUUUGAGUUCUUACAACAGGCCCCACAUUCUGUAGAAGUUUCUAUAUGAUUUUAUAUAAUCCUGAUCAUCCUAUGAUGCAGGUACUGUUAUCAUCCAUAUGUUGCAAAUGAGGCAACUGAAGCUUAGUGUAUUAAAUAAGUUGCAUAAGAAUGAGUAAUUGUUUAGUGCUCUUGUUAGACACACCUGUAAGAAUGGGAAGAAACCAAGAUUAAGUAGAGGGUAAAGCUGACAUGUAGUUUCCUGAGCCAAUCUACAGGGAGUUCUGCAACUAGGAUGGUCCUUCAACACUGCCCCUUCAAUCAAGGAGAGGGCCAUGGGAUACCCCUAUACAUGGGUAUAGCCUUCAGCAAGACAAUUCCCAGUGGCCAAGAACAAUUCCUAGUGUGCUCUAGCAGCAAUUGAUAUUCCCAGCAGCUGGGAGAAGGAUGAAUAACCUUUAGGAGAGGAUUCUGGGCAGAAUACCACAGUAUCUAGUACAAUUAGGUAAUGUGCCCAUGAUCACACAACUAGUAAAAUGCUGAGAUUUAAACCCAAGUCUGUCUGACUUUAGCCUGUCCUCUUAAUUUUGAUGCUAUAUUCAUCCCCAUUGCCCUAUCUAUCUGAUCUAGUUGCUAGUAUCUGACAGAAUAAUGACAUUUAUAAUACAUUUUUAUGGUUUAAAAAUGAGUAAAACAGCUUAUUUCAGUUGAAAUUGUUGUGAAAAAGUAAGCAAAUGACGCUAUGCAUUAGCUUUUGCUGUGAAUGUUUGUGUGCUUGUGUAUACAGGUCUAGCAAUGAAGUGUGGGAAAGGGGAUUAUAUAUAACAGUGUGUUAGUAAAAGUCCUCCUUUCUCCUUCCAAAUGGCUCAGAGCCAAGUUUACAAUCAACAUGGCGAGAUUCAUUUGCUAAAUGAGAGAUGUGCCAGCUUAAGCAGGGGACUUGGCAUCCCUAGAAGUACUCCCUCACUUGUCCUUCAAUUUAACAACUGUGGAGGCUAGCUCAUUGCCCAAGAUUGGCCCAGUUCUCCCUGGGUCAGAGCCAGGGUUAGCAACUGUCCAAUCAAAACAAGCCAGACAUUAGUGAAGGAGUAAUAGUAGAUCUUAAUAAAAAAUAUACUGUUGCAAUAGAGAAAAGAGUCCAGCAUGAACUGAACCCAACUUUCAUUUAUAGAGAUAACUCAGCAUUUUGUUUGUUGUGGGUUUUUAUGUUUUUGUUGUUUGUUGUUUAUGUUUGUGCUUUGUCAUCAGGGAUUGAACCCAGGGCAUUUAACCACUGAGCCACACCCCCAGCCCUUUUUUUAAAAUAAAUUUAUUUUUUUAUUUUAAUUAGGCAUAUACAACAGCAGAAUGCAUUUUGAUUCAUUGUACACAAUUGCAGCACAACUUUUCAUUUCUCUGGUUGUACACAAUGUAGUAACGUAGCGUCACACCAUAUGUGUAGUCAUACAUGUAGCUAGGGUAAUGAUGUCCAUCUCAUUCCACCAUCUUUCCUGCCCCCAUGCCUCCUCUGUACCCCUCCCUCUCCUUUGCCCAGUCAAAGUUCCUCCAUUUUUCCCAUGCCCUUCCCCUCCAUUAUGGAUCAGCAUUCACUUAUCAGAGAGAACACUCAGCCUUGGGUUUUUUGGGAUUGGCUUACUUUGCUUAGCAUGAUAUUCUCCAAUUCCAUCCAUUUACCUGCAAAGGCCAUAAUUUUAUUCUCUUUUAAUGCUGAGUCAUAGUCAAUUGUGUAUAUAGACACAGUCUUGCCAAGUUUCCUAGGGUCUAGCUAAGUUGCUGAGGCUGACUUUGAACUUGCAACACUCCUGUCUCAGCCUCCAAAGUCACUGGGAUUAUAGGUAUGCUCGCCGGGCUGACUGGGCAUUUUAAAGGGAGAAUGUGGGAGUAUGAAGUGGGGUGAUCGGGGCUCAGUAGAGUUAGGGAGGUGAAAAAUUACAAGAAGUAGGAAAGUGGAGGUUGGUCCAUGUAAAGCUCAUCUGCAUUUGCUGACUGAUGCUUAUUGAAAAGGUUCCCACCCUCCCUAUCUUCAGGUGUUGGCUGGACCAAACAGUAAACUUUUUUGACAACCUCUAGUUUUCUCAGACAGGCACUUUAAGUGGAGUUGGGUUCAGCCUUGGAAUGUAGCCUUGAGCUAUUAGAAACUAUGUUAGUGUUUAUUCAAGUCUUUAUAGGUCAAGGUUGAGGCUUAGUCAAGAAGAGGGCUCCAAGGAGCCUGGCUAAGUUUGGGGCAAGAAGAGCAUCAUUGUUAUAACCAACUAGCAAUAAGUAGCAGUUUAAUGGACAAAAUCCCUACUUAUAAGACCCCUUUAACACCAUUCUAACCCAAAGCCAAGAGCCUCCCUGUACUCCACCAAUAAGAUCUCACACAUAUGCACACAUCUAUACUCUUAAACUCACAUUCCUGUGCACUAUACACAUCCACAUUUACAUAUAUUCACACAACCACUUUCUCACAUGCAUAUGCCCACAUGCAUAUAUACACUUCCAUACUCAUACAUACACAAACUAACACACACACACACACACACACACACACACACCACGUCCCUAGAUUAUGUACUUCAAUUCCCAGGCCCAGCUUCUCAGUCUGCUGAUCACAAUCCUGCUGCUGCUGGGCUUAGAGACAGUUUAGUAUCCUCCGAGCGACUGAUCUCUGGGAAUUCCUGUCCAUCCACUACUCGGUGAGGGGGGGUUGGAGUAGAUCCCUUCAUGGGGCAGGAAACGUACAAGCAGAAAGAAUGAAAAUUUUAGCUAGAAGGAGAAUCAGAUCCCAUGGACAGUUCAUCUGGAAUGUUCCCAAACACUAGCCACUUGGUUCUUAUUCCUUUACCUCACUCCCCACUCACCCCAGUCUCUGUUCAAGUUCUCAGGCCAGUAGGUGAUAAAGCCAGCUCUGGACCCCAAUCCCAAGCUUCUUCCUUAUUGCCAUGAUACCCUUCUCUUUUUAUAGGAUUCUUUUUCAAAUUCACCAAAACAAAAACAAAACCAAAAACUUCAUGCAGGAAAGGAAGCUGAACAUUUCACAGGGUAACUAGGCAUGCCAUGGCUUAUAUAUUAACUGACGAUUGAGCAUGACCAGGUCCUUUCAUAAUCAUUAAUGAGCCCUCAUCAGCUCACCUUCUCUGCUUUUACAUGCUUAUACCAUGGGUUGCUCCGCCCCCCUCUCCAUUUCUUUGGGGUAGUGGAGCAAAAGGCAUGAUUUGGGGAUCCCACUAAGGUUCGUUGUGUUCCAUGUGAGUAGAAACACCGUUAACUCAGGCAUAUCUUCUCCAAGCCUCUACAAUUGACAGAUUGGUGAUUGGGAUUAAGUAGAAUGUACAUUUAAAGCACCCAUUAGAGUUCCCAGGUCAUAACAAAUGACCAUUAUAACUAUUAGAGUUUCUUGCUUUUACUUUUUACUUGUAUAACAUUGGUAAUGUUGUGAGAGUCAAAAAAAAAAUCAGCAUUUCUUCAGAAAAAAAAAAAAGUUAUUCUCUUGGGCACCUUUUUUCAGAAUCUCAUUGCACCAGUGGCCACUUUAUUCCUGUGUUUGGUGUUUACCUUGGUACCUGCAAAGGAGGCAGAGUGGGCUGUGGCUCACCUGCAGUACCUGAACAGCGUGCACUGUGAUGGAGAAGGUGCCCCACACCUUCUGGGCCAUUGAGCAGCUGUUGUGUAUUUGCUGUCUCACCUGUUUCAUACCAACUCUUUCGUUGAUCCUUUUUGACUUGCUCUUUACUUGUAUCUUCAGAUCUCAGACAACCGGGGAAUUUCACCCAAUAUUAGUAGUAAAUUGAGGGGAAAAUGACAAGUGUAUGAUAUUUACAGUGGAGUAAGGGAAAGAGCCAGUCUUCUUUCUGGGGUGUGCUCAGCAGCAUGGCUGCAUGCACAUAAAGUAAGAAAUUGGUCAGGAUGGAUUGAAUUCCUUUCCCCUUUGCUGAGCCUAAGAAAUGGGUUCUGAAACAUCCUCUGCGGUUGCUCUAGGGUUGAACUCUUAAAAUUUCUCCUAGAAAUACUCCUUUUGGAGGCAAGGAAAGCCUCCAAAAGGAGUAUUUCUAGGUGUGGAGUUAAAGGGAGAGGCAUGCAUGGAGGGGAGGAAGAGUUGGAGUUCUUUGUUUCUCUUCUUCAGCAGCUUGCCAUCUUUCUGUAGACCUUGGUUAUUCUGAUCAUGCUCUGAGCCGAGAACAACUUAACCAGAAAACUGUCUGUGCUUCUGUGGGUGCAUCAUUUUUCCACUCUCAUUCACUUUCAGACACUUUCAUUAGAAAAUGAAUCUCCAAGAACUCUGAAAGCCACUGCAUAGGCAUUAUAAACAGCCUGUAGAACCUUCCUCCCUCUAAUGACUAUAUGUUCAGCCAAAGAUACUGCAAUAAAAACACACACUGCAUAUUUGCAUUUUCAGUGCUCUGGUGGUAAAUCUACAAUGCUGCUCUGUGGUCCUGAAUACAGAAUGUCUCUGCUAGCACAGAUCAGGAAUUUAAAGGUUUCUAGGAAACCAGAUCAAUCAAUAAUAAGGUUCUUCUAUAUCAGAUAUAGCUUACAAAUGUUCUCAAAGGACUACACUAUAAAAACAAUGCACAUAUAAGCCCUUACCACAAAGGGCAUUUUCUAGUGAUAAAUAGCUUUCCAGGAUUUCUCAUUGUCUCCUGCUCAAUUUCUACAAGUAGACAAAGCUUAAAAGAAAGGUUUCUAGACCUUUAUCUUAUAAUGCAAUUGUUUAUCAAAUACCAGAACAAUCAUUAGCCAGGUGAGGGCACUAGGACUGAGCAUAGACACAAAGAAAAGAAACCUGGGAAAAAUUGUCUUUUGCAAUUCACUUAUUGCUUUGCCAUAUAAAAUCCUU